AAAAACUUACAUUAGGAGUACGGAACAAUAGUAGCGUGCUCCAGCUUAGGCAUAAGGAACAAAUAAAGGAAAGGAUAAAAGGAAACAAGACACUCCAAACAGAUACUGAAAUGGUUACAUCAAGACAAUGGCCCCUGACCAUCACAAUGCUUACCAUAUCAACCUUCCUAUAGCGCUGCCAGACGCUCAUUACAGAAGCAUAUCCACGUGGCGCAAAUUUCUCACCUUUGUUUUCCAAUAUGAAACGGUAGCAGAUCAGUUUGUAAGACUGUUCCGCAACUCGCUGAGUGCUGCCAUCCACAACUCGUGAGAACUCAUUGGUGCUCCAGCCACAUCACCAGGAAGAUCUGUCUGUCUGCUCACUGUUGUCUUGAGAUUCAUGCAGAAGUCGCAGCUUUGAUAAAAGCUUCGUAAUGUUACAUGACAAAAACUAGUUCCAAUGGCACUAUGUCAGUGAAGUAGUCACAAUCGAGACAAGCAUGCAAGGUGAUGGUCUACCACUGCACAAUGUGAUGAUGCACAUCACUUUCACCAAGGAGCACCUCUUCUAACCAAGCACAUGAGAAUGGUGAAACUUGAACGCGGUAAUCCCCGGAGGACAUGGAAGAUGAUAAAACAUAUGCAGUCAUGCAACUGAAAUGUCCACUGUUGACUUGUUUCAGACCUAACAGUCACUACAAGCAAAAGUAACUACCAGGGGAAGUGCUCUCCUAAGUAUCUUAAUAGAUCACAUUGCUAAGUUGCUAACAUCCCUAAGAACAUUGUUUUGGAAGGUAAAAAAGGUUGCCAUCGCCAACCAUUCAGAAAAAACACCUGUAAAAUACCAAACCAUGAAUUGAAAAGAAAAACAACCAGAAACACAGCAUUAACAAAACAAAAAAAAUGAUGAACAGUAGUGAUACUUCAUAGCAGAGGGGUGACAAUCUAUGACACAGACAACUAGAGAAAUUUCAUAUAAAGAUGGCAAUUUACCCAGAGUAUCAGUAACAAAGACAAGUAACCAAGUUCAGCCAGGAAAGGCAAGAUGACCAAUUCACAUGACAAAUAGAUGUUCGUGACCAAAAUCUGUAGUGAUUAUAAAAGGCAAGACUCCAUUGCCAACUCCAACGUGUUUACCAUUAGGACCCCGACUCAACUAAGGUCUCGAGGGGAAGAAACUUGUAACGACAGCAGUGACUACUGACACAGAUGGACCCCACAUUCAGACUGAACCUUGACGAUGACGCUGGACCUUCUUGACCCUCAUUACUGUUCUAGGACUCACUGUAACAGUAAGGACACGAUAUAUCAAGCUAUGCGCAAGCAAACAUGAGGCAAGAAAAUGAUUAAAAAUAACUUUAAUAUGCAACUUAAUGUUCAAAAUAAAGGUGUGGCAUAUGUCCUGAUCAUACUGGAGGUCAUGAAACACAGACCUGAUUGUCCUGAUCUGUUGCUGAAUCAUUUGUAUUGUUUGUCUGCAGUGGCUUCUCUGCUCCACAUUGAGGACGAUUGCAUUUUGUUCUGAAUGGAUAGUUUAUGUUAUUGCACUGCUCGCACUUCCAACUGCCCUCUGGCAUCUUUGGUUCUAUCAAUGAGAGGUUGGGUGUGAAAUUAAAUAAAGUUGAUUGAAUAAAUUACAUAAACCUAUGAUAAACUAGUUCAUAGGUUAUGCGUAAAACUCCAAAGAAAACAAACUAAUUGCCUGUGAAGAAACUCUAGUGAUAAUAAAGUUUUCUAAAUUAACUAAAUUAAAGGCAUUUUAAAUACAAAAAAAAUCUGGCAAUAAAAGCAGCAGAAAGCAUUUAUGGUAUGGAAACUUACUUGAGCCUCUUGAACCAUCAGGCUUAGAUCCCUGCAGAAAGAGUAGAUAUGCAAGCAAUCAGUAAAGUAUACUUGGCUCUAUAAACGAUAUACAGAAGCCCAAGCAUUAGAAAUGUAGACCCAAGUUUAGAUGAAAGAGAACUACUUUUAUAUAAAAAAAUAGUCAAAACUUGUUUGCUAAAAGUUCACAAAAGUGUUUUGGUUUAGCUUAUCACAUACCACACCAACAGUAAUGACUAAUGAACAUCAAACAGUUGCAAUGGCAUGAGUCAUGUAGCAACAAAUUGUCAGUUAAAUGAGCGAUUUCUUUGAUAAGGUUCAUGAACACUCAACAAGAGAAAGUUGUAUUAACUUUUUUUUUACCACAGAAAAGGUGAUCAAAAGUACUGAGAUUCUGAUGUCCAAUAAAUGAACAAGCAUACAAAUGCAAUGAUGAGUUACUGCAUACCAGAGACAUCAAGGCAUACAUAAGCAGACCAUUUAGAACAAUAGUAUACAAUGAAGACAUGUACACUCCAAACACAUGACUAAUCUUGUGGCAGCAUAAUCAACUUCAAGCACAUAUGCAAAGUUACAGUACUAACUGACUAUCGAUAAUUGCAGAAAAAGCUGAAAUGAUUUUAGUUCCAAAUACAUGAAACUGAAAGUAGUUAUAUCGAAUCGCUCAUCUGUCUCAGACCUGGUUUUCAGGUCUUGGUGUGUUGCACUUUCUCAUAUUACAGACUGUGCGAAAGGCGAAGUUGAUGUUGUGGCAAUUUGGACACUCCCAAUCAUUAUCACGUCCAGCUCCUACAGUGAUAGUGCAGGAGAAUAGGCAGAGAUUAACCAAGUAGUAAUGAUUUAAAAUCAGUAAAAACUACAAAUUCAAUAAUUUAUACCUGCAGGCUUCUUCUGGGAACCUUCAUCAGAAUAUGAGCCAGCCCUUGUGCCCUUUCAAGUUCAAGAAGCAAUGAACACAUUGAGAAAUGGAGUAGACACAAAUUAUAACUAUCACAUAUUGAGAAAUGGAGUAGACACAAAUUAUAAUUAUCAUAAAAGAGGGAAUGCAAAGUAACAGCAACCAAUGUGUAGAUAAUUCUUCAUUUAAGAUAGCAGUAGUUAACUCAAAUUAGCAUGAGCAGCAUGUACAGAAGGGUAAUCAGAAGAGCAUACCAUUGCACUAGGACUAGGAGGAAUUAAGCCAUAUCUGUCCAUGGGCAUUCCAUAGAUUCCACCUAUUCAUGGGACAGUAAAUGAGAUAAGUCUUGUCACUUGUGAGUGAACACAUGGAGAACUUUGGAUUGGGAAACAUGCAUCAUGACCCCCAAUCGAGGAAGUGUCAUUGAGGACACGUGGCAGAACGCAAAAGUAAAUAGUCCCCAAAGAGGCAGUGCUGGUCUGCUGGACAAGCUAAGUAUCUAUGAUAAAUGAAGAAGUAUCUAUGAUAAAUGAAUAAAUGAGGAUCAAGUGAAAAGAAAUGUUGUUCUUAUGUUCUGUAAAAUCCAAUUGUUUACACACUAUGGUUUGCAUAAAAGGAAGGAUUGAAAACAUAGGAUUUUGCCUACUUAAUCUGAUAGGUAGAUUAAGUAAUGCAAGGCAAUAUCAAAAUAUGGCAUGCAUAUCAUAACCGAAGACCUUGUUACCUCCCAUCAUAGAUCCACCAGAAUAUGGAGGUGGCCCUGCCAUUUGCAUUGGCCCGUAGAGGUUCCCCAUCGGUACGCGACCACCAUAUCCAUAUGGAUACGCCGAACUCCCAGGGAACUGAGGAAUGCCAUAGCGCGGCGGCAUUGCAGGUCCAUUAAACAUGGACGUGCCAUACGGGGGAGCACCCCCACCAAGGUACAUCGACGGAGGCGUCCCUGGGCCCAUGUAACCCCCUGAUGUGGUGUAGUGGGGCGGAGUUUGCAUAGGCUUUUGCAUGGCCUUCUGAAUGGCAAGCAACAGCAACACGCGGUAAAUGCAAAAGCGCUAGCGACAUGCGGAAGUACUUGCAGGUACACUCUACUCAGUAGACAACAUGAAUAAAGCGAGGCAAAAGCCGUUAUGUACCGUGUGAUCUGCUGGCCUGGACUGGUUGCAGUUCCGCAUGUUGCAAGUGGUGCGGAAGGCAAAGUUGACAUUCUUGCAGCUGGGGCAAACCCAGUCGUCCUCACGCCGGCUGCCUGAGACACGUACAUUUGUCCCCCAGGAAGGGGGAAACCCACUCAGAUGCAGCUUAGGUAUCAGAAGUGACAAAAAACAAGGAGGCGGCGGGGUAAACUACCGUCGGUGCGCGCGCGCUUCCCAGCGGAUUGGCUGCGGCUGUCGACCUGCAAACCCACACACGAAUAUCGUUAGAUCCGGCGGAUGUCUGGGAUCCAGAGGGAGAUCGACGAGCACAGUACAGAGUCCAAAUCCAGCAACGCUAGCAAGCUUCCAGCCGCGACUAAUGGAGUAAUGGAGCGCGACACCUGCUCGAACCCUAAUCAACCGGCGGAAUCGAGGAGGGCGGCGCGAGGAAGGAAGAGGAAGUAGCGGGGCGGUACCUGAGAAGACAUGGGUGGCGGCGACCCGGCGGUGGCGGUCGGCGGACGGCGCGGCGGGAGGCCUUGCGCUCCUCGGAGCGGAGAGGGAGAGCCCCGGACGCCGCGGAUACGGGCGGCGAGCGAGGGAGGAGGAGGAGGGGAGUCCGGCGGAGCAGCGGGCUAGGGUUUUGCGCUCGCGUGCUCCCUCCCCUUCCUGUCGCGAUUUCGGCUUGGGAAAUUUCCGGGGUGCAGAUUGGCUUUUGCCUCCGCCGCGUCGGCCUGCGGUGUACUUGCACGGACGGGACAGGGGACUCCACUGGGAACUCGUGGCUGGUUUGCUCCGCCGUGCGGGCUAGAUGAGGGUGACAUUUAGGCCCAGCUCGGGUUGGUGGGCCCUUUGAUCGAUCUCACGUGGCAGCAUGCUCCGGCCCAUGUCUAUAUUUUCCUCUUCUCCUCAACAAAAAUAUGUACAUUUUCUUCUGUUUUUUAGAUUUACAAAUUACAAUGCUGUAAGAAUUUAUACUUUUGUGGUAGAGGAUGAAAUUUAAAAUGUAUUUCUUAAACGAAGUGUGAAAGUUUUAAUGACAAAUAAGCAUGCCUUUGUCACUAUGUACUCUUUGAAAAAUAGAAUUUGACAGCACGGUAGUAAACCAGAGGCUCAAACACAAGAGUACGCAUGCAAGUGUCCAUCGGAUGGUUAGUUCUGAGCUAUCAUCUCAGUUCAUUUCCAUCGUAUUCUGUAAGACCAAAAUAGUUCAAUAAUUGAAUUGACAACCUCUGAUGAAAGGCAAAACAAGUGCAUGAGCAAGGUGUGCAUCGAAGACCUGCAGCAAAGGCAACCAAGAAGAUCAACUCCUGCUCUGUCCUUUUCUUGCUUUCAGCUACUGCACCCCCCGCGCCUAUGCGUGCCUGGUAGUCCCCGUCUUGGCUCGCUUUUGAUGCAUUACACACAUACACGACCGAGCUGCUGCGAGCCUUCGACCUCGCUCGCCGCCCUUGUGAACGGUCACGGGCCUCCCCUCUCGCGCCUCUCCUUUCCCCUCCCGUCUCCUCAGUCCUCACGCACACUUGCGCGCCAUGGAUGGCACCUCACCGCUCAUCGAUCGCCACAUGUUCGGCUAUAAAUCCUACUCCGAUCCUGCGACUCGACGGCUUCAUUCUCAACUGUGUCGAAGCUUCUACGAGCUAGCUAGCUAGCGCAAUGGAGUACUCUGACGAGGAGGAGCAGGGCUCGUCGCCGGCGUCGGCGUUGGAAUCGGAGUCGGAGUGCCCGCCGCUGAUGGCGCCGCCUCCGCCGCAGCCACUGGCGCCGCCGUCGCAGCGGCCGCUGCUGCUGAACCCGGCGUACGCACGGUGCAAGUCGGUGAUCCACGACGAGCUGCGCAGCUUCCGGGUGUUCCUGCAGUGGUGCGCGCUCGACCACUCCACCCGCGCCGGGCGCGCCGCCUCGUACGCGGCGUUCCUGGCGCUGGCGCUCCUGGUGCCGGCCGCCGUCUCGGUCUCGCUCCGCGCCGACGCCGCGCUGUCCCCGGCCUCCGCGUCCGCCAUCACCUUCAACCGCGUCGCCCAGGUGCCUGUCACGGGUCUCGCCGCCAUCUCCUUCGCCACGCUAGCCGUCUUCUUCCGCCGCUUCGGCGGCCUGCGCCAGCUCCUGUUCCUGGACGGUGCGCUUCGCGACGACACCACCUACGUCCGCCGCGGCUACGCGCGGGAGCUGGACCGCGCGUUCCGCCUCCUGGCGGCGCUCCUCCUCCCGUCCCUCUGCGUCGAGGCCGCGCACAAGGCCGUCUUCUUCUUCUGCACCGUCCGGGUGGAUCCCCCCGCGGCGCUGGGCGUGGUGCUCCCGCCGCUCCUCCCGCCGUGGCGGGUCCCCUGGCGCGCGGUGGCGCUGGUCGCCACGGUGGCGUCGUGGGUGUACCGCACGGGGGUGUUCCUGCUGGUGUGCGUGCUGUUCCGCCUCACCUGCGAGCUCCAGAUCCUGCGCUUCGAGGGCAUCCACCACAUGUUCGACGUCGAGGCGCGCGCCGCCGCCGCCGAGAUCUUCGCCGAGCACCGCCGCAUCCGAAAGCAGCUUCUGGCCACCAGCCACCGGUACCGGGUGUUCAUCAUCUGCUGCCUCGUCACCAUCACCGUCAGCCAGCUCGGCGCGCUCCUCGUCGUCCUCUCCUCCGGGGACGCCAAGAGCUUCUCCAACACCGGCGACCUCCUGGUCGGCUUGGCGGUGCAGCUGAGCGGCUUCUUCAUGUGCCUGUUCGGCGCGGCGAGGAUCACGCACAGGGCGCAGAGGAUGGUGUCCAUCGCCAGCCAGUGGCACAUGAGCAUGGUGGCCGCCAUGCACCACGGCAAGUCCUCGCCGGACAGCACGUCGGCGAGCGACGUCGACGCGUCCCGCGUCUCCGGCUCGUCGGCGGCCGUAUCCCAGGCGGAGCCCGGCGGGGCGUUCUCGUACAAGAGCAGACAAGCGCUCGGUACUUCACCAAUGCAAUCGAACUUGUGAUUUUGACCAUUGAUUUGCUGCCAUCAAGUGAUGCUAAUUUUUUGUUGCUGUGCUCUGCAGUGACGUACCUUCGCCACAACGGCGGAGGGAUCACCCUGUUCGGCUUCACGCUCGACAGGGGUCUCCUCCACACCAUCUUCGUCUUCGAGAUGACUCUGGUGCUAUGGAUCCUCAGCAAAGUUGUGGUCCUCCAGUAGGACCCCGUGUACACGUGUCAAGAUAGUCUUACACGUAGUAGUGCUACUAUUUUUUGCUCGCCAGGGUACGUAUUCGUCUCAAAAGAAAUGUGGGAUGAAUGAUCCUUAUAUUACAACAGUAGAUAGUAGUAUCUGUAUUCAUAUAAACGUAUGACGUGAUAUGAUCCUCCGGUUUAACAUGCUACUUUGACAUGUGCGGAUGUGCCUUUUUGUACUCAAAAAGAAAUUAAAGAAAUGGAAACUUAUUCUAGCCCAAAUCAAAAGCCCUUCUUGGCGGAACGUUUUUAUUUUUCUCCAUAAUAAUUUUAAUGGCUCGACAACGGGACAAUUCUGCUACAUUGUUGAAACAUUUUUCUUAUUGUUUUGUGUUUUUCCUUUUUUUCAUCAGAAUAUUUUAUUUUCUCCAAAGUAAUUUCGUAUCGUCUUACCAAUAGAAAUUGUUAUUUCUUACUUUUGAAAACUUUAUGUGUAGAAUAGUUUUUAGUUUUAUUGAGAAUAUUUUUUUUGUUAUUGGUUUGUGAUGGCCUUAUUGGUGUAAGAUGAGGCCCACAAGACGAGAAGAGAUGGCAAAAACAAUCACAGAUAUGUCUAAAAUUAUUUUAAAGUGUUGGUGGUAUAAAUAAGCCAUAGUUAAAAAUAGGUAGAAAAUAGUUAUGCCCUUUUAGGCUUGGAGAAACUUGCUCUCACAAAGGUAGCACCCCCGCUUGAUCUAGUUUUUUCUUUAUAAUGGCUUGAUCCAGUUGAAAUGGCCUGAUUGAGGUGAGUCAUGGCAAAUUGGCAAGGCUAGGUUUGUUCCCAUCUUGUUGGGGAAGACACCUCCACAGCCGUACGUUCAACUGAUCUUUUUUACUGAUAUUCGUCCAACCAUCUAUUCUCUCACCAAUAUUUCAUUUUUCUGCAUAUCUUUCAAAACAAAAUGAAUGGCCAAAUAAGCGUUAUGGUCUCAUGUGCAAGCGGGAAAUCCACGUUCUUGCUAAUGCCUUAGCCACGUUUAUUACUACUCCCUCCGUCCUGCGUAAUUACUUUUUACUCAAGUCCCAUGAUAUAAGGCAUAUUCUCUCCGUACGCAUGUAUAUUGAUGCAAUAAUAUUAGUGUUGACAGAGAGAAUUAAAUAUAUUUUUUAGUUUUUAACCAAAGAUAGAUACAUUUUGUAUAUUGGGACGGAGGGAGCAGCUCAGAGGCGCUGCAACGAUUUGACAACCUCAUCGGAGCGCGCCCCACGGCCGGUGGCAGCAAGGCACAUUGCGUUUCUUCAAAAGAAAAAAGCAAGGCACAUUGCUAUUCUUGGCCACGCACCGGCAGCCGCAUGCCAUGCGCGCGCCUCAUCUCUCUCGCCACCAUCCUCGCCACGCGCGCGUGCGCGGGCGGGUGGCUCCUGAAUCCACUCUCCUCCCCCUUCUCCGCCUCCCUUCGCGUCGACCUCCCGCUUCCCCCCUCCCUGGAAAGCUGCGGCCGGCCUCCCACUCGCGCGCGCCCGACGAGAGCAGGGCCGCAGCGUUGCCGCCGGCCGCAUCACCCGCCGUCGUCAAGCGCUGGCGCCGGCGGGCUGGCUCCCCGUCCCCGCCGCCCCGGACAUGGCCGCGGCGCCGCCGUCGCUAGCGCGCCACCUCCUGCUGCCGGCCGGGUGCCUCCUCCUCCUGCUGCUGCUGACCGCUGACGCCGCGCGCCUCCCGCUGGCCCUCGCGCCCGACGACGCCGACGCGCUCCUCCAGCUCAAGUCCGGGAUCAAGGACGGCGGCGGCGCGCUCAGCAGCUGGGCCCCCGGCACGAGCCCCUGCAACGGCGACGAAUCCAAAUGGGCCGGCGUCAUGUGCAACAAGAACGGCGUGCACGGCCUGCAGCUCGAGGGGAUGAGCCUCUCCGGCAAGCUCGACCUGGGCGCCCUCAAGCGCCUGUCCGGCCUCCGCACGCUGAGCUUCAUGGACAACGAGUUCGCCGGCCCGAUGCCCGACGUCAGGGGGCUCAGUGGCCUCCGUGCUAUCUUCCUGUCCGGCAACGAGUUCUCCGGGACGAUCCCCGCCGACGCGUUCGCCGGGAUGGGCUGGCUCAAGAAGAUCGUCCUCUCCAACAAUAACUUCUCCGGCCCCAUCCCGGCGUCGCUCGCCGACUUGCCCAGGCUCCUCGACCUGCAGCUCAACGACAACAAGUUCCAGGGCAAAAUCCCUGAUCUGAAACAGAAGGAAUUGAAGGAUGUCAAUAUCGCAAACAAUGAGCUCGAGGGGGAGAUCCCGGCGAGCCUCAAGAACAUCAAAUCCGACAUGUUCGCCGGUGAGCCACGCCAUGGAUUUCUAGACCAUGCUGUUCCUUCAACGUCUACGUGUAAAGCAUGUGAUUUGUUGUUGUACGAUGCAGGCAACAAGAAGCUUUGCGGUGCGCCGCUUGGUGCCAAAUGCGAGGCCACUCCGCCGCCGGCAGUAAAGGCGCCAGUGCCGACCUCCGACAAAGCAGGGGCCGCACCGGACGCCGCGGCGUCCACGGGCGCGUCCGCUGAUGACGGGAAGCAAGAAGUUCAGAAGCCCGCCGAGGGCUUCACGUCCUACGGCAUCCUCGCCGCGGUCCUUGGCACGCUGGCGAUCGCCGGCGUGGCGUUCGUCGCGCUGCACAAGCGGCGGGACACGACCAAGAACUUCGGCCCGGCCGCUUCGACGAAGCCCUCGGGGCCGAGGGUCGAGCCGCAGCCUGCGGCGAAAGCCGAAGCCAGCGCGGCGCGCGGGGCUGCGCCGGCUGCAGCCGGCGCCGCCGGCGCCGCCGCGGCGGGAUGCGGUGGCGAGGAGCGCAGCAGCCGCGCGGGCGGCAGCACGGCGCGGAAGGUGGAGCUGGGGCGGCUGACCUUCGUGCGCGACGACCGCGGCCGGUUCUUCGAGCUGCAGGACCUGCUCAAGGCGACGGCGGAGGUGCUCGGCACCGCCAACCUCGGCGUGUGCUACCGCGCCACGCUGACGAGCGGGCACUCCGUCGUCGUCAAGCGGUUCAAGGAGAUGAACCGGGUGGGCCGGGAGGACUUUGAGGAGCACAUGCGGCGGCUCGGCCGGCUCAGCCACCCCAACCUCCUCCGGCUCGUCGCCUACUACUACCGCAAGGAAGAGAAGCUCCUCAUCCACGACUACGUCCCCAACAGGAGCUUGGCCAACCUCCUCCAUGGUGACUAGCCAUCAUCUCCUGAUCAGCUAAAAAAAAAAUCAUUCUCCAUUUUUUUUCGAGGCUCAUUGCUUGGUGCUCGCACGAACGCAGGCGAGGGCCGCGGGUUGAAGAAAGCGGUGCUGCACUGGAGCGCGCGGCUGAAGAUCGUCAAGGGCGUGGCGCGGGCGCUGAGCUACCUGUACGACGAGCUGUGCAUGCUCACGGUGCCGCAUGGCCACCUCAAGUCGUCCAACAUCCUGCUCAACGGCCAGUACGAGCCGCUGCUCACCGACUACGCGCUGGUGCCGGUGAUGAACCAGUCGCACGCCGCGCAGCUCAUGGUGGCCUUCAAGUCCCCCGAGCGGAAGCAGUUCGGCCGCUCCUCCAAGAAGAGCGACGUCUGGUGCCUCGGCCUGCUCAUCCUCGAGAUCCUCGCCGGGAGGCCGGCGAGCUACGACCUCCCCAAGGCAGGCGCGGCGGCCGAGCCGUCGGCGUCGUCGUCGUCCCAGCAGAAGCCGGCGGCGGCGGGCAGCAGCAGCGACCUGGUGAGCGUCGUGGGCUCGACGCCGGAGGGCGAGUGGCUGCGCGCCGUGGUGGACCCGGACCUGAAGGUCGAGGACGACGAGGACAGGGCGGAGAUGGUGAAGCUGAUCAGGAUCGGCAUGGCGUGCUGCGAGACCAACGUGGACAGCCGGUGGGAGCUCAAGACCGCCGUCGACAGGAUCGAGGAGCUCAAGGCGACGGACCGCGCCAGCGAGGACCAGUCCUUCUACUCGUCGGUGAACGACGAGGAGGACCUCAAUGAUGUCGCCAUCAACUGAUGGAUCGACAUGAACCGGCACGGGGAUCAAUUUGGGAUCGCGUCGUGUGUGCAUCGUACUGGGCUCGAUGCGACAUGCAUGCCGACACGAUAAAACGUGAACUAGUAAUGUGUACGCUUAUCUCUGUUGCCGGUGGUAGAAAAGAUGUAUCUUCUUAUAUAUAUAACACGGAUCUUAGUUUCGUUUGCUCAGGACAGUGGUCGUUUGGGAUUUCAAACUUCGUCCAACGCCUCUUUGUUAAAUGUCAUUAUGCAAAAUUCAUCCAUCUCAGAUAAAUUCUCAGCAAAUUCAACAGAAGUUCGUUUUGUGCAAAUUGUCAAGAGUAGUUCGUAAUUGGACUUGAAACCAGGGUUAACUUUUACCGGUAAGGGGAAAAACCGGAGGUUGUCGAUAAACGCGUUUAUCGGAUUUUUAGAAAAUUUAUCGGACAAAAUUUAGAAAAAAAUCCCUCAAACCGUACACAAAAUAAUCUAGAUUAUCUCCAAAAUAUCUAAUAUGAAAAAUAAGACAUCACAAUGCAUAAAAAUGAGAAAAUAUAUGGGCUAGGAGGAAAGAGGUGGGCACAGUACCGAGAAUUUUUGACAAAACGGUCACUAGCGAUAAACGCGAUUAUCGAUUUUCUUGUUUUUUUCACCGAGAAAUUUUUCCCUGCUUGAAACUUAUUAUGCCCUCAAACUCACUAUGUAGCCCCCUGAAUUGUCAAGAGUGAUGCUAGCGAAAGACAACUUAGCUAGAAGGAAUUGGAAUGGGAAUUAAGCUUGUUGCUUUUUAUAAGCAGGAAACUAUCCAACACCUCUUUGUUGAAUGUCAUUAUGCAAAAUUUUUAUAGCGUGCAAUUCAUUUUGUGUUACAUAUACCACCAGUAAAGAUAGAAUAUUUGUUUAAUAACUGGUCUAAAUAUGGAGGGCACAAGCACAAUACAAUGUUAUUGACGAGAGCCAUGAUACUGUGUUUAACAAUUGUAGACCAAAUUUUUUUUUUUGCAAGUGCUGUUUAGGGGGGACAUAUUGCCUCUGGUUGUGGGCUCUGUUGCAGCACAUUGAUGAUUGACGGGAGCGGCUAGUCGAAGCAUGCCAGCUUCUACAUUCUUCAACUAUGCAGUUCUUCAUGUUCCAUGGAUUGCAUUGCCGCCCUUUAUUUUGCGUAUUAUUGGAUAUUAAUUUUAAACACAGUGCGGCCUAAACUCUGAGUUUGUAUUUAUAAUAAUUGCGGACUGAUACCCUCUCUGGAGGGGUUUGAAGUCGGAAUUUUUUUUCAUUAUCUAAAAAAAAAUUAGCCCCCUGAAUCAAGAAGGAAACGCCUUCUUGUGACGUGGAACGGCGCACUACCAAUUGACUGAAGCAUUACUGCAUUGUCGUGUCAAUAUGCCAUGGAUAUUCCUUACAAAUACAAUAAAGAAAAUAACCAACCCAACCCACUAGCCAGUUGCUAGUUAGUUGCCAGUGAAAAGGAAGCCUGGCUUGCACAGAUGCAUCCCAACAAAUUACAACAUGCUACAGUUGAAUGGGCACCAAUGUAGAGCAUAUUCCAUGCUGAUGCUUCUUGCUUGAAUUUCUGCCUGUCUGAACUUGCAAUCAUCAGCUCAUCAGACUUCAGUGCUCUGAUCACUCUCGGUAUCCACCAUGUCCACUCUGGCCUCGCCAUUGCUGCUCCCUUUCUGGACGUACUCUACCAUGUCGAUGUUGUAGAGUAUCGGGAGCAUGGCCAUGGAGCAGAGGCACGGCAGGGCGGGCCCGAAGAUCCAGAGCAGGAGCGGCGCGCCGGCGAAGAAGAACCGGUUGCCGGCGAGGUUGAGCAGGAACCCCCUCUCCAUGACGUCGGCGACGUAGUCCCUGGUGAGCGGGAGGUGGAGCCCCGGCGACGGGGAGAGCGCGUUGACGAGGAAGGAGGCCUGGUUGAGCGUGCAGAUGGCGAGGCUGUGGCUGAGGAAGGCGAGCAGGAAGACGAGGAGGAGGACGACGUACUUGAGCGCCAUCAUGUACUCGCCGUGCGCGCCGAAGACAGCGUCGCUGAGCGGCUUCUUCACGGCGUAGGUGCUGCUGAGCACGGCGGCGACGCCGGUGCAGAAGAGGAUGGACGUCGUGGCCACCAGCGUGGAGCCCAUCAGCACGUUCCGCACCGACUGCACCACCAGGAUCGCCUGCUUCUCGUUGUUCUGCAUGCAUCCACGAUCGAUCGAGCAGCAGGCAAGAUCAGAUCACUUCUUGCGGCCAUGGCCAUGAGUGACAUCAAGGUGGCGUGGGUCCGUGCGCGCACGACGCGACAGCUAGAGCUAGUACCUUCAUCAUGGAGAAGACCCAGAGGCGGCGCGCGGCGGCGCUGAUGCCGACGGUGGAGCUGAGCGGGCUGCGGCGGACGGUGCGCCAGAGCCAGAGGUGGUACACCGCGGGGAAGAGGACGGCGAGCGGGAUCAGCACCACGUCCAAGUAGCUCUCCCUCCACGCCAUGGCCGGCGACGAUCGAGACACCGAUCGAUCUGCCUGCUACAAUACAAUCCCUCUCGCUCGACGCUCGACUCGACCCCCCUCGAUCUGCCUCUCGACCGGAAUGCGCUCGUAGACGAUCGACGAUGCCGCACCACCGUGACGAGGCCUCCGGUGGUGUCCGCUCCGGCGUGGAGAUAUAUAGGCAGGCGGGGAGCCGGCCGGUCGGGUCGAGCUGACCACCACUUUCUCGUGGGAGCGCGAAGAGACGAGGAGAUCUCAUCGCCGCGAGUGUGAAGCACAUGCACGUACGCCGGCCGCUGAUCUCGCUCUCUCCUAUGGUGGACUCUUACUCGAAGGCCACGACGCGCAUAGAAAAACCCUGUGACCUAAAAGUGGUGAAACCAAAGGAGAGCAUUAGCCGCGACCAAACCUCACCCUGUCUCGCCCAGCAUGACGAGGCAGACUGGAGCUCCUCCUUUUCUGCCCUUUUUGUUCGCUUUUCGUGGACAUUUUUUAGAGGGUAAAAAAGUAGCCAGGGUUUUGCAUAUGUUGGUGUGUUGCUUUUUGACAAGGUGCUGCUGCUCUUGUUCUUUAAAUAAUCCCACUUAUGGUAUAUGCUAAGUAAAGCUGGAGAGAGCUAGUCCAUUCGUCGGUUUGCUUGUCAUUUGAAGGAUUCUAAAAGUUGCCUAUUUUUUUUCCAAAAAGGAUGUCUAUCAUUUAUUAUUAGUUGAUGCAUGAAAAUGAUUUUGGUAGUUUUUCUAUAAGAGGCAAUCAUCUAGAAUUGUAUCUAUUUGUAGUUGAAAAGGCCUGUAUAGUUGGAUUUACAGCUCCAAUUAAAUCUAACUUUGUACUAGCAAAAAGAAUCAAGUGUUUACGCCAUCAUUACUAAAAAAGUUACACUCAAAGAGUGAUGCCAUCAUUACUAGCAUUAACUGAAGUACAAACAAGAUUUCAGGUGUUAUUAAGAAGCUGUAAAAUAUUUAAAUUAUUCUCAUCUUAUAUGCCUAUAAUGCUAGAGCACAAACCUACUCCAAAGUUCAUUGUUAGGGGCCCUCUAAAACACCCGGUCAUGGUUUACCUUUUUCUUUUAGAAAACCAUGGUAUUCAGACACUAUAUUUUAUAAAUGAGGGGGUGUGCAAAACUAAAUAUGGUAAGAAUAUGUUGCGAGCGAAAUUUGUUGCGUCCAAAACCUCAUAAUUUUCCAAACCCAUACAAAGAGAGGAGAACGCUCUUUGCUCGUCUGUACAACCUAAUUGCACAAAACCAACGAGGUGGCAUUCAACUCCAUAGCUGAAGAUCAAAGUUCGCCUUUUCAAUCAGUGACUAGCCGCGCGAGUUAUUAUUAGGAUGAUCGCUGUAAUUAUUAAAAAUUACGAUUUAAUGACUGUUUGCAUGAUAUGCUGAGCCCGAAAGUGAUACUUUAUUCAUUAAAGUAAAUCUUUAGGAUUUUCAUGAUGAUUUGUAAACCCCAAUAUAUUGGACAUAGUUGUGUCAGCCAACUGUCCUCCAACAAAUGUAAAGUGCAGAAAACCUGCGUAUUCAUAGAAAAAUUUAAGUUUCUUUGGUUUUCUUUUGACGCACAAGAUUCUUAGUUGAAAACUGUACUUGAUAACUAAUCAAACAAGGAAGCAUGCGUUCGUCUAAACACGCCUCGAAACCGAUUAAAUUAAUAAGGAAAGCACAACGUGCAAUCGGCGGCGAGUUAAAAUGAAGUACGGUUCGGACCCUCAUCUUCCUUUUUCUUCGUCUUGAAAGAAAGAAAACAGCUUUGGAGGGUGCAAAGUGCGCGCGGACCUACUUCGCAGCAGGAAGAGUAAGGCGCUCCGCGGUGGCGAGGUCUCGGAGAAGCUGCUGUUCGUGUGCAAGAGCGAGCAGCACGGAAGGAGUUAGUGCUGAGUGGAGCGUUUGAGAAAGUAAUGGAGUCGAUCUAUCGGUCGAGGUCGGCGCCGCGUGCUGAUUUCUGAUUAAUUAAUUUGAGCGAGGCGCGUAAUCACCAUUUACCGGUAUGACGAUGAACGUAGAUCCGGAUUGCGUGUACAUUUACAGAGGUGCCGGUAAAUGCGCGUGUACAUUUACUAUGUUUUAAAAAAAACAAAUUCAUCUCCAAGCUAGGGCUAAAUGUGAAUUGUCCUCCUUUUUUUUCUCCCAAGAACGAAAAAGGCGAGAGGUGAGUAAGAGUUGCGAAUUCUGGGCGUGUAUCUCUCUAUCUUUAACAAAAGCUGGCCGACUUGAGUCAAUCAGAAAAAACAAACACAUAAACAAACUGAGGUAGAUUAAACAUUAAUAAAAGGUAAUUCAGGUUGAGGCUCGAGUCAGACUAGCCCCCUACUGCGCUCCCGUGUCUUGGAGAAAGGGAGUAUCGUAUCUCUCUAUGCCUCCAUCCAUGACCAAGCAUGCGGGUUGUCCUCGUGCCCUCGUGGGAAAUUGGGUUGUUGGCUUGCUGCAGACCAGCCGCUCGCCGAGAUGCUGCGCGAUUACCAGUUUAGAUUAGUGCUCCUCUGCUGAGGCCACUACGAUGGCAAAUGCAAAAUAGCAUACCCAAGCACAAUCAGGUUAGAUUAGUGUCGUUUUUUUUUUCUGGCAAAGCAAAAGUAGAUGGAUUAGGCGGCGUAUCCUGCUAAUAUAACUCCGGGGCUAAACUAAAUAAUAAGAGGCCAGGCGCACGAACUAAUAAAAAGCAUGAACGAACAAAAUCGGUGCAUUACCAUUGCAUGCAUUACACAACCAGUACUACGACAGUAUGAACCUGCUUAGUAGUUUGUAGUCCACGUGCAGCAAGUAACGAUAAAGGAAAACUCACCUUUGUGUGAACAAAGCAUAUAAGGGACUUCGGGGAAAAAAAAAGGGAAAAGAAAAGCGAACUUGUUAGCUCAGUGAUGAGGAGUCUAGUAGGCAGGCAGCAUCCAUUUGGUGAUCCCAAAUGGGGUGCUCUGGAAAUGGAAAAAGAAAAUGAUGCUUGGCAUUUGUGGCUAGUGUAAACAUCAGUGCAUUCCAUUUGCAGCUAAGCCUGCCUUGGCUCCAACAUUCCCAAAUCUCUUGAAAAGGAUGCAUAUAUGAGUUGGAUGCUUACACGUUUGCACAUUAGUAGGAGUUUUUCAGGUCGGUUCCCCACUAAAUAUGGCGAUUUGCCUAUGACGAUUGACAACCACACGGGAUAAUGCUAUAAUAUCGCAAAGUGGUUUUCUUACUUGUACAUUUUUUUUUCCUUUGCAGGCAUUACAGGCCCGUCACUCUUUUCUAGUAACAACGGUGGCGCGAGUUUUUUUAGAUAGACUGCUAUACAUCACUUAUGCUGCAAAUUCCGGAUCCAUUACCUGAGGAAGCACACGCACUAGGCAUGCAAAGUGGCCGCACCAUCAUUUCUUUUUCUUUGUUACCUUUUCUUUGGUUUUUUUCCUUUUGUAUUCAUCCCUCCGAUCCACCUUUUACUGUUUAUUUCCAAUGCUCAGUAGAUAUUUCUUUUUUAUUUCAUUUUCUAUGUUGUUUAUUUUUUAUUUCUUUUAAUAUUUUUCUCCAUUAUUCUCUAUUUCUUUGUUUCUAUGGAGUCUAUGAAUGCUAUAAAUAUAGUAGUGCUUAAUGUUUCUUUUCUUAUGUUUUUUAUGGUUUGCCCCUUAUUUACCUAUCUGAUAUUUUUUAUUUCAUUCAUUUAUUUCUUAUUUCACUUUUCAUUUAGUUAAUGUUUCUUAUCUUGUUUUAUUUAGUUUCCUUUGACUGAGUUCGCCCAUAGACCUCUUACUCCUUCAAUUUUUUUUCUUUUUGAGCCCUCGUAACUUUUUUCUUCUUUUUCCUAUAUUCUCCUUUUCAUGAUCAUGUAGAUUUUUUUAAUUUUUCUAUUAGAUUUUGUUUCCUUCUAAUUUAAUGGUUUUUCUACAUGUGAUUUAAAAAUUCUCCCGAAGCAUAUGCUCUACAUGUGUGUGCCGUGGUGAAAAGAGCUGAAAAUAGGAAGGGGAAAAGAAAACAAGAAAAUGUAGCCAGACGGCUAUUAUAGGUCCCGCCAUGUGCUCCACGCAGCUUGUUGUGUAUAGUUGCUUGUUGUGCUUGCUCAUAUAGAAUACUUAGCUGGAAAGUGGAUGCAUUUGCUUGCAUACAACUAUAAAAUAGACCCUAAUGAUAAAAUAGAAUGUUGUUGGAUGGAUCGUUUAGUUCUCUUUUAUUUAAUAAUUUAUAUUAGUUGUUUACCAUACUGACUUAUUUGGUACACAUAUAUGCUUAUAAUUCUUAUGUAAAAUUAUUUAUCCGCGUAUAGCUAAUUUGUUCAUAAUGUUAAAUUAUUUGUUGCUGUUGUAGACUAAAUUGUUCGAUGAUGUUGACUUAUUUAUUCAUGAUAUUUAUUUUCCAUUAUUUAUCGUAUACAAUCAAGUGUUCGUGAUGUUUAAUAUUUUAUUCGUAGUAUAUUAUUAUUUCUUCAUCAUAUUUAAUUUUUUAUUCAUAGAAAAUAAUUAUUUAUUUAUGUUGUUAAAAUAUUUAUUCCCAGUAGCUGAAAAAUAAUUAUUUAGUAUUAGAAAUUUUUUUAAAAAAAAUAUCGUGCAAACGUAGGCAAAGUGGUCUUAUUUUAAGGAUAUUAUCGUAAGAGAGAUAACGGUACAAUUUAAAUUUAAUUUGGAUGCUCAGUUUAAUAUUAUUGUUUUUUUUAAGUUCCAAAUUUACGUGCAUGUGAGUAACGUCACGUCUUUAUUAGCGCUAAUUUGCAGAAACAGUCUAUCUCAGCGACGGGCACACGACACCGUCCGCACCUGCGCUCCGUCCGCUUCACGAGAUGAUUUGCUCGUGAAGUGAUGGGCGCGAGGUUGAAGACCUCGUGCGUGCGUGGGCCGUAACUAGGCUGCUCCGGGGCCCUCUCACCUCGCGUGACGAGGCCCAUAUCAGAGAUAGUGGCCCAUUCUGACUGGUCGAAACGACGAGCAGGCCAAUUUUACGCUCCCAGUCUCUAUCUCGGCGGCCGCGGCAGGCCAGACUUUCCUGACACUAGCGUCCGAAGAAUUGUAAAGCAAAAUCAUGUACCUGAAAGUGUUAAAUGGAUAAUUGGAUAGUACAAUGUUUCAUUCAUUCUCCCAGAAUAGUACACUAGGCAGCCCGUUCUGAAGCAGCAAUUUUAUUUAUUGUCUGGAAAAAUUAUUGGAACAACUGCUAUAUAAAGGUCGGAGUAGGAAAUUAGUACACAGUAUCAAAUUUGACCACAAAAAGUAGAAAACUCACAAACCAGUUCAUGAGGUCAUAUUCAUAUUGGAGGCAACUUAACAUUAUGGCAUUUAAUUUAUUGAAUAAUGUGGACUUUUACCAAAAAAAUAUAAGUUUGAUCUGGUCUGGUGCUAAAGCCAGUAGAAAUCAGCAAUCUUCAAGGCUUGCAUGUCCAUCAAAAUUUCAGAAUCCUAAACCCUCAUUUGUGAUGAUGGCCUGGUUUCAAGGAGCACGUAUUUUUAAACAUCAGCCGUCUAUUUUGUUUGCUUGAGUUAUUUUGGAGAGGAUAUUUACAAAUCAACAUAAGAUUAGGACAACAGAAUACUUUCUACACAAAACGAUUCUAAUUUAAUCAACAUAGUAUUAUCUUACAACACAGCUCAUCGGUGUGAUUGGAUCAUCCCAAAACCAAUAUGAACAUGGUCAGCUAGACAAAUAAACAUAUGUCUAAGAAAGAAUAUGUUGUUUCAGAAAACACAAUGUUCAAGUCUGAAAACUGAAAAGAGUUUAAGAAAAUAAUGUACUCAUCUUUAGGGAACUCUGAGCUCACCUGAAAAACCUGUUGAAUUGACAUGUGUGUAUUCAGGGCUUAAGGAAACUAAUGAAUCUGAAAUGGAAGCAAGUUAUGAAACAUAUAACAUAUUUGUUUAUUCUGAGAAAUGGGAUGCACACAUGGAGCCCUCACUACAGCUAUGGAUGGAGAUCUUACUGUACAUGUGGAUCAGGGUAACAGUGAUCUAUCUUUAGUGGACACGGCCGAUUGGGAACAUAGUGAAAAUACAAAAUGUUCAAAACUUAAAACACAUACUUCAAUGCUUAAUGAGAAGGAAUUGCAGGAUAUUUGGUUUAGUGUCUCCUGAUUCAGUGAACUGGCAAUCAGUCAGGUUAGCUAGAAAAGAAAAAAAGGCCGACUCACAUACAAUGGAAAAUUAGAUAAAAUCACAGAUGCUAUUUACAAAAUAUUGCAGCCAAAAUAUGGAAUAAGCUGAAGUGUCAUAUUUAGCUUGUUGCUAUAUCGGUAUCAUGAUAAAUUUUGUUGAAACUUUCUGAACAUAUACUAUAGAGAUAAACCAAUGGUUAAUAAAAUAUUUACAAAACCUUGCUGGAUCAGUCUUCUGCUACUGAUAAAGAUUGAUGAAGGGCUUGACGUCGUUAAUGCAGAUCCUGAUUUCUGGAAAUAUACAACUGUUGAGGAUUCAGAGAUGGACUUAACAAAUGCUAUUCUAACCAUGCAACGCUGAAUUCGGAGAGGGACUGUGCAAUCAGGAAAAAAGAUUACUACAUGUAAAUUGAAUCAGAUACAGCAGAUGGGGCAAGGGGUGGCACCCACUCACCAUCGCUGUUCUUCGGCAGCAUCCCUCGUCUUGCUGCCGGUAGAGGUUUCAAGGUUGGGGUUUACGUGAUCUCAUUGAUGUUGGUCAAACUGAGAACAGCAGGCAGUGAGAGAGGGCUGAGCGCUUGAGCGAGGAACGACGCCAGCAGCGAGAUGGCGGCAGCGACCCGUCCGAGCCGGUGAGGAAGGGGAACGGAUGACCUGCACGGAGGAACAGCGCGCUGGCGGCUGGCCCGGGAUUUUUCUUCCGCGAGGAGGAUGGCCGAAAUGUUGCCGGCACAACGACGACGCACACGACGGCCCAAGCCCAACCAUCUGAUGGGCCAACACAGGCUGCAACAGUAGAGAAUGCUAUGCUCUGGAGACGGUAAAAAAGAUAUGGGCCCACAACAGGACACGCGUGACACUGUUAAAACAGUGAGUUACUCCCGUUGCUCCUUUUUCUUUGGGUUACUUAUGCCAUUGCAAAUUUUGUUCAACUGUUUUUCUCUUGUGCCAGCCUGAAACUCUGGAAUGUUUUCAUCCAUUGGUGGCAUUCUUGCAUGAAAUAUAUAAAAGUAGGGAUGAUAAAUGGCUUUAAAUUUUAUUCUAGAUAAUCUAAAUGCUGGAUCAUAAUCUUAUAUAAUUUUGAGCUAAAUAUAUAUAAGAGCUAAAUUGGAUUAUGAAGAGAGCGUUAGGAUCAUGAUGCGUUACCACCCUAUACAGAAGCAAGACCUUUCCUUUGGUGUUUUUCUAAAUGGACAGGGCAUCUCGAGACUUAUAUUGUUUCUGAUGAUCUUUUCAGAGAAGUAUCUUAAAGGAAGGCUGUCCAAGAACUAGCUGUUGUACUACCGCACGAGAUUCAUUAUAAUCUGAGUGUACGGCAACACAGGAAUUCUGCAAGAAAAGGUGCUCGAUUCCUGUGCUAUGUGACCCGUCGUUCCACUUCCAUUCAGAUCCUGCACGGCCGCGCUGCAAGCAUGCCUCGUUUCAGAUUUGCAGCUGGAUCGCAGUGACAUCAAUCUGGACGAGCCGAUAAAUCUGAACUUGGAAUACUGAAUCUGAAUCCUUGACUCCUUGUUAGUUUGUCACAUUGUAGUUUGCAGAUGGACAAUGGUGGCGGCCGCCGGUGACGACGAGCCGGAAGGGAAGGGCCUCCGCCAUUGCGACCCAGGUCACAUGCUGGCAUGGCGCAUAGCUACAGGUGGAUCAAGGGAGUCCAUGACUGCCGCCGGCCCGCCGCCGUAGCCGUAAUGCUUUAUUCCGGUUUGGGGACGGCGACUCGUCGUCUCGGUGCCCGCCACGGUGUGGUCAUGGUCGGAGGGGAAGGGGGUGCCGACGAGAGGUGGUCCCUGCGCGUGGUGCGGCGUACUGGCGGUGUAGGAGAGGACGUCCCGUCAUCCCUGGCUGCAAAAACCAGUUCAGGGGGUUAUACGAAAAAACGUGGAUGCGUAUUUUAUAAAAGAACCUCUAAUUCGGAUUGCGAUUAAGGCGCGUGAUCCAUUUCAGGGGGUUAUAUGAAAACUCCAGGAUAAGUAAUUUUCAUAAAAACCCCUAACUUGGAUAUUCUUUUACAUAUAAACCCCCUGUUCCGCUGUUCGGUUCCAUGAGAAUUCUUCCGUGGCGGACUUGAAGGAGAGGCGGCUGGCACGCGGCGACGGCGGAGGGCGGAGGCGAAAGGGGAACCGGGGAAGGCCGGAGCAUCUGAAGACUCGGAGGUGAAGCUGAUGGACGAUGAGAUGGCCGCCGCUCCCUCCGGAUCUCGCGGGUGCUCCGCUCGCGCGUGACGCCAUGAUCCAUGGCGCCUUCCUGCUCGGGGCGUCCGAGGAUUGCGAGACCCGGUGGUUGGUUUUGGUUUCUGCUAGGAAAUGGCCGAUGGGUUGCUGGGAAGGGGAUUGCUGCCGCACUUGCCGGAUCAAUUGAUUUUCGCCUUCCUUGUUGCUGUAUGCGUCGAGUUCCUCUGCCAUGUUGGGUUUUAGUGCCAAUUGCAGGCUAGGAUCUUGCUGCUGCCUGACAGAGAACACAAAGGGACUUUCUGGCAUGCUGCAUAAGGAGUCAUUCCCCGAUCCUUUCCAACAUGGAUGGAUAGAAAAAUACCUUCUUUAGAGAAUACAGUGGAAUCGUAGACAUUGCCAAUUCAGAAGAAGGAUGCACCUUUGAUGAUUCAGGGAUAACAAUGAUUUCAAAUGAUACAUCCUGGAAACGAUAGUCGGUGGUUGUUGAACUGGCUGCAUCUUAUUUAUUUAUUUAUUUGAGGAAAACUAUGGCAUCUGAUAGCCUGAACUUUAUUGCAAUUGAGAAGACAGAAAUUUACAAAGAUUACAAAGAGCUCUUAUCAAAAGCAAGGAAGAGCAUCUGAUUUAUGAUUUAAGAGUGUGUUCUGAUCUGGAGAUAGGAACUGUUUCAGGUUACCACAUUGCAUAAUGGACCAUUGAUUAGUUUGGGAACAGGAAUGGCCGAAUAAGAGAGCUUUUAUUCCUUUAGUGGAGGUGGACUAUACUUGUUGAUCCAUUUCUUUGACUGAACUGCAAAUGGCCUGAAGUUCAGAAGCUGAAACCUUUGUGUUCUCCUCUCAUCUAGUAUUAAUUGAAAUGGUAGGGAGGCUAACUAUUUUUUUGUUCAGCAUUCUUCUAGGACGAUGUUGUUAUUUCUUUUGGUAGCUGCAUGGACCUGAAAAACUACUGAAAUGUUUGCUAAGUUUUUGACAUUCUAUCUGUAAAUUAGCUAUCAGAUUGACUAUGAGUAUACAUACAGGCUGAGUGUUGGCUUUUGUAUGGACAGACUACUUCAUGGCGCCUUACUGAUAGAGGUAGUACAAGGGAGCCGGAAUUGGGAUCCUGUCCAAUUGAGAUGUGCACCCACAACUUCACCACCACGCCAAAGGUUGCACCUUGCGCACGAUGAGAAUGAAAAAUAAAGUACCCAGGUUAAUCUAUGAGAAUAAAUUUGAUUAUCACAUUACCAUAUUAUUUUUUUAAAAUAAAGUAAAAACAUCCUGCCGCUACACUGACAAGAGUGUAUAUAGCCAAACUACAAGUUUAAUUUCCUAGCAGUAAACAAAGUUCAUGCCUUGACCAUCCUUUGUAAACAAGAUGGCAUGCUUCUGCCCUUCUUUUUCUUUUACAUUUUGUUGUUAUUCUACCAUUAUAAACCAGUUAGCAGCCGUUUGGUCGAUAUUGAAGUGCUUGGCAUUGAAUUGGAUCCAAUACCAAAUCAGCCUAGAAUUGAAAUAGAUUCAAUACCAAAAUUAUUGUUUGGAUGUAGAUAAAAUUGCUAGAUGGAAUUCAACUAUAGGCAAAUACCAAUUCAUGUGUGGACGUGCAUAAUGUGAAUUUGGAAAUCGACCCAUCUUCAUCACCUCAACACUGCUCGGUCGGAGGAAGCGCGCACGGGGUCUUGGAGGCGCGGCAGAGGCGGACAGAGCACCGCGGGGGGCUUCCAGGCACGGCGGAGGGAGCGACGACGCGAGGUCCUCGAGGAGGCAGGGCGCGGCGGCGGACGGAGCGUCGCGGGGGACGUCGAGGCGCGGGGUGCGGCGGCGGGGCGUGCCGGCGGACGGAGCGUCGCGGGGGGCUUCGAGGCACGGGGCGCCGCGGCGGCCGGACCGGCGCAGGGGGCUUCGACCAGCGCGGGGGGCUUCGAGGCGCGGCAGAGGGAGCAGCACGGGGUCUUCGAGGCACGGCAGAGGGAGGAGCGCGGGGGCUUCGAAACGCGGCGGAGGGAGGGGAGCGGCGCGGUGAGCAGCGGGGGCUUCGACGCGCCGGCGGAGGAGGCGGAGGGGCGCGACGGGGUAGAGGUGAGCGAAUGCAAUGGAAUACAGAGGUGUAGGGGGUUUGAACUGUGGGAGGAGGUACAACAGCACGCUGAAUAUCACUCGGUAUAGAAUUGAAGGAAGUUUUCUAAUAGCAAUUUCACAAACAUUCAAACAGUUAAUAUUAGGUACCUUAGAGAAACUGCUUCCUUCCUAUAGGCACUACAAUAGCAAAAGCAAAAUAACAUAUCUAAUCCCAAUCAAGUUAGAUUGCUAUCGUUUUUCUGGCAAACCAAAGGUAGAUAAACUAGACAGCAUAUCUUGCUAAAUCCGGUGCCAAAUUAGAAUAAUAGAAGGCCAGGCACACAAGCUACUAAAAGGCAGAAACAGAACACAUGAUAGAUAAAGCCAUGACCAAUGCGUGUGAUAGUAUAAAUGUGGUUAGAUUAGAGUCCACAUGCAGUUGCAGAUAAAGCCAUGAAAAGAAAAUCUUUAUGAGCGACCAUUGUGUGAAAGCAUGAUAAGGGACUUGAGGAAAAAAAAACUUAAAAGAAAUGAAAGCUUUUCAGUUCAGUGUGUGUGGAGUCCAGUAGUAGGCAGGAGGCAAGCCAUCUGGUGAUCCGAAAGGGGCCAAAAAAAAAAAAGACUGGGCAUGCAUUUGUGCCUAGUGUAAACAUCACUGUCCCAUUUGCAGCCUUGGUCAGACAUUCCUAAAUCUCCUGAUCGCAGCGUGCGUACCUACACGUUUGCAGAUGAGGAGAGGGUUUCAAGCCGGUUCCCCACUAAAUUUGGUGAAUUGGCUACUGACUACUGAUAGUGAGCAUGUAGGAGGGUAACUCUAUAAUAUCGGAAGUGGUUUCUUACUCGUACGUGUUCCUUUGCAGGGAUUGCAUACUAGAAAACCUAGUAUUUUUAGAUGAAAGUGGCUACCCAUCAUCCGGGUGAUUUCUUUAUUUGUAAUCAGUCACCUUUUAGCCCACUGGCAUAAUGACAUAUCAUAGAUAAAGAUAAAAGAAAAACUGAGUGAUACGGAUACUAUUUUUAACCAGAAAAGCAAUAAACAUCGACUAGAAUAAAAUUGAGUGAUAUACUACAAAUAUCACCCAAAAGGUCUGAUUAGUUGUUAGGGCCGGCUCUAAGAGGGAGGGCAUGCAGUGGGACCGUCCGGGGGCCAUGGACCUGGGAUCCUAAGACCGUAUAGGUCAUUAAUACAUAUAAUUUUCUAUUUAGCAUAAUAAGUUUUCGAAAACCCAUGACAAACUAGCCCAUGACUCCAUAAGACCAUGAUGUACAGCCGUAGGGAAGUCUUCCAUCCUGUAACCUAUCCAUCGAUGUUUCGCAUUUCGUUUUCGUUUGAUCGUUUCUUGCUGCCGCCGCGACCCUAGCACCCUACCCAUGCGCUCGCGCUAUUAUGGUAGUCAUAAUGGUUAUUGUUUUUAGUUUUUUAUUACACUUUUUUAUUACACUAUUAUUAUAUUUUAUAUGCUAUAUAUAUUGCAAAGUAAUUUUUAUUAUUCGUACUGUAUACUAGUACUAUAAUUUUGAUAUUAAAAAUUAGUUCAACGGGUUCUUAUCUUCUUACGGGCCCUUAAAAUUAUAGAGUUGAUCCUGUUUGCUGUGCUAUUUAGAUCCAACGUAGAAAAGGGGACAUCUCUUCUCCCAUGUCUCUACCUCUAUGCAGUGCAGUGCUCUAAAGUACAUUCCCCCAUUUGUGUUUCCAGAGCAAUCCAUGUGUUAUGUACAACAUUCUUGUUUCCGUAAUGUAAUUGAUGAAAAAAAAGCACUAAAUGGAAUAGGAAAAAUUGAAUGAUAAGAGAUACUGAAAAUCUAAAUUUAAUUCAAAAUCUACAAAUCAAGAUCAGGUUUGCAAAAAUUUUUGUAAACCUGCAAAAGUUGAAUUAAUGAGGAAUGAAUUCACAAAUCUGAGUAGGAAAGAAUAAGAGGCUGAAUAGCUAAUGACUAAACAAGUAACAGAACAUAACGGCAGCUGCUUUACGAAUCUUGAAGAAAUCUAAGCCGUAGGAAUCCGACACAUAGAUAAACACCCGAUAGACAUAUAGAAAUUUCGUUUUAGAUUGGCAUCUGCGGCGAAGAACAUACUACGCGAUGAAUUGAAGUUCAGGUUUUCGGACGAGGCCCAGAUCGAAGGGCAAACCGAUCUCGGCCCAUUAUGCCUGGUCCAAAGAACGAUUAGGCCCAUUUACGCAUCCGGCGUCGCGCGCGUCGUCCGGCAGGCGGCGGGUUUCCUGACAUGAACAAACGGCCCAUGCUCGCGUUCACCGUCCAAUUCCUGGCUGGUGGGCGGUGGCCUCGCGCGCGCCCUUCGCGGCUUCGCCGCCGGUGCGGCCGGCAACGGCGAGGAGCUAGCUAGCGUGCACCACCCCGUUGCUGCCGUCACCGAAAAGCUGGCGUGCCCGCCGUGCUCUCGCGCUGCCGGCUCGCCGGACCUGUAGUAAUAAUAGUGGAAACAAAGUCCGGCCGGCCUCGCUCUGAUGCACAGCGUGGUGGACCUUUGUCCUAUCCAUCGCCCUCUGCUUUCGGUGGACGUACGUACUCACCGCCCGCGCUACGUACAUUUGCAUCUCGUCAUCACGCCUUUUUUUCUUCUUCUUUCUGGUGCUCUGCUGCACCAAACGCAGCAGCAUGACGUGCCUUCGUGUUAUGCUAGAUUCCAACGGUACUAACUGAACGCCAACACACAGUGACUUGCACGCCAUCAACAAAAAGAAAAGGUUACAGGAGCUUUUAGAUCAUCCACCCAUGUACUACCAUGCCCGUGCAACAAACUUGUGCUAUCGUCUCCGAUGCUCCUUUUUUUUUGGGGGGGGGGACACCAUUUUAUUAUCUUCAUUGCUUCUCGUGCUUGUGUUUAUCUCCACUGCUCAUUUUCCUUUAACAAAAAAAGAUAAAAAGAGAGGCUUUUAGCCCACCCAACCAUAUACAUACUACCAUGCCCGUGCAACAAAAUUUAUGUUAUUAUCUGCAUUGCUACCUUUUUUUAGAAAAACAAAUCACCAUUUUGUGUAGUUACAUAUAAAGGUUUGUGUACACUGUGUUGCAGUAAAAUAGAUUUUUCUUCCGCAGAAAAGGAUUAUUCUUCCGGUUUUUUCUUUUAAAAAAACAGUUUUUUUGCGGAAUUUUAAAAAACAGAUAAAACACGUGAAAAGCGCCAAAUAUCUUGUUUGCCAGGAAGCGGCCCCACGAAAAGCCCAUGUACGCGGGGGCCCACCUUCACCGCUGGACGACGCGCGGCGCGGGUCGGGUGCGGACGGGGAGGGAGCCGGGCCAGACGGAGACGGAGACGCCUCCGGCUGCAAAGUGCAAGCGCACCCAGGCCAGCCCCACCUGUCAGCGAGCGCGCGCGCGACGUGACCCCCUCGCCCACACCACCCCACCGCGCACGCACGGCACGGCGCCUCACGCGGCCCCCGCACGGGAGCCGAGGACGAGCGCGAGCCCCUCCCCUCCCUCCCUUACAAAUCACUCCGCCCAGUCACUCACUCCUCCCAUUCCGACUUGAUCGGCGAGGAGAAAUUCGGAGCUCGGUAUGGCGCAGCUCCCCUUCGUCUCCGCCGCGCGCCCGCUGCUCGCCGCGCCCGCGGGGCGGGGGCCGUGGCAGCGGCAGUGGCGCGGCGGGGCGCCGGGGCGGGCCAAUGCGGCGGGGGGCGCGGGAGCGCGGGUCCGUGCAGCCGCCGCGCGGCGCGCGGCUCCCGCGGCGGUGGAGGCGGUGGCCGACGAGGAGGACGAGGAGGAGGUGGUGGAGGAGGAGAGGUACGCGCUGGGCGGCGCGUGCAGGGUGCUCGCGGGAAUGCCCGCGCCGCUGGGGGCCACCGCGCUCGACGGCGGGGUCAACUUCGCCGUCUACUCCAGCGGCGCUUCCGCUGCGUCGCUGUGCCUCUUCACCCCCGGCGAUCUCGAGGCGGUGAGCUUGCCACUCCGCGCCGAGUAGAAUUUUGCGAUGCGUGGCUACGAUCCUUCUGUGUCAGUUCGUUUGUUGUGAAGCUGUGUGGAAAUUUAUUCCGCUGCGUCACUCGCUCGGAUGUUGAAAUCGAGUUUUGCGUCGCUGGAAUGAUGCAGGAUACGGUGACUGAGGAGGUCCCCCUUGAUCCCCUGUUCAAUCGGACGGGGAACGUGUGGCACGUGUUCAUUGAAGGGAAGCAGGUGCACGACAUGCUCUACGGCUACAGGUUUGAUGGCGUGUUUGCCCCUGAGCGCGGACAGUACUAUGAUGUUUCCAAUGUCGUGGUGGAUCCGUAUGCUAAGGUGACGAGUUAGCUUAGCUUUGGUAUGCAUGUGAGUUGCGAUACACUCAUAAAUUGAUUUGUAGGUGCUUGCUCACUUUUUUUUUUUUCUCCAGGCCGUGGUAAGCCGAGGUAAAUAUGGUGCACCAGCUCCUGAUGGUGAUUGCUGGCCUCAAAUGGCUGGCAUGGUCCCUCUUCCAUAUAGUACGGUAUGCUGGAAUUACUGUAUGUUGGGAUCUUUCCACAUUAGUUUCCUUGUCUCCCGUUUUUACUCCAUCACAAUCAUAAUUAAUACAUAGGAAUAUACUUGGUUGUUGAUUGUGAAAAGCCCGACUAACUGACUGCAAGCACUAUAACUGUCUAUUGUAUGUUAGGAUUAUUGAUUGUAUUAUUUUAUUUCAUGUUGCAAGUAGAAAUGAGGUGUAAUUACAUUUACUGCAUCUAAAUGUUGUCUUUUUUUGUUUCAUUUCACAAGAUAAAUGUUUGCAUUUGCAGUUUGAUUGGCAAGGCGACCUACCCCUGAAGUAUCAUCAAAAGGACGUUGUUAUCUAUGAAAUGCAUUUGCGUGGAUUCACAAAGCAUGAUUCAAGCAAGACAAAACACCCAGGAACUUACAUUGGUGCUGUGUCGAAGCUUGACUAUCUAAAGGUAGGGUUGCUAACAGACUAGCUGUAUGCUUGAUAAAGUGUUUGCAUAAUAUUUGUUUAGAUUUUGCAUUUUAGUCAAGUAACACCACUUUAUGCCUAUUUGUUCACCAUAGGCAUAACCAUGUAUUUUCAUUUUCAAAGACCAAUACUGUUUACUGUGACAAUCUUUACAUUUGCUGUAUAUACAAUUAUAGAUUACUGAACUGAUAUAGUAUCUGUAUUACAUAAACAUUUUGCUCAGUAAAUCGUUGAACUUGGUAUUGGCCAUUUUAGACCUUUUGCCCCUUUUGGUAUGUGUUUAUGACUUAGCUCUUAGUUUGACCUUGGAAAAAUCGUCUGCAGGAACUUGGAGUCAACUGUGUAGAGUUAAUGCCCUGUCACGAGUUCAAUGAGCUGGAGUACUUCAGCUCCUCUUCCAAGUAUGUGGACUUGAAUCCAGUCUAUAGAUGCUAUAAGUUUUAUUGGACUUGAUACAAAUUUUGUGCUUGCAGAAUUGAUAGCCUUCUUAGUUCCAUCCCGCAUGCCAUCUCUUCCCCACCCCCACCCCACCCCCUCCUAAUUGUGCCUUACUCUUCUACUUUUAGCAUUAUCACAGAUGGCUUAUAUUCUCACUCAGAAACAUAACCAAGUUUGUCACCUUAUUUCGUAGUAACUGCUCAUCAUUGUGCCAGGAUGAACUUCUGGGGAUAUUCUACAAUAAAUUUUUUCUCACCAAUGGCAAGAUAUUCGUCCGGUGGCACAAGCAACUAUGGACGCGAUGCCAUAAAUGAGUUUAAAUUUUUUGUAAGAGAGGCACACAAACGGGGAAUUGAGGUAACCAAGCUGAUUUGAGUUAGGCUUAAUGCUUACCUAGUAGAAGCUUCCUUUGUUCAUAUCAUUUUUGACACAAAGAUAUGUCACUUUUAGGUGAUCAUGGAUGUUGUCUUCAAUCAUACAGCCGAGGGUAAUGAGAAAGGCCCAAUAUUAUCCUUUAGGGGGAUAGAUAAUAGUACGUACUACAUGCUUGCACCUAAGGUGAGAUACAUUGCUCAUCAUGCACUUGUUCUUUCCUGGUUCAUACAGUAUAAUUUUAUCAUGUAAUUCGUUCAUAGAUUCAUGUCCGUGCAACUAACAAUUUUAAGGGCACUUAUUUGUGCAGGGGGAGUUUUAUAACUAUUCUGGCUGUGGAAAUACCUUCAAUUGUAAUCAUCCAGUAGUCCGUGAAUUUAUCGUGGAUUGCUUGAGGUACAAAUAUGUAUAUAACUUUAAUUGUUCUGCUUGUCAUUCUAUUGGAAGAUGCAUGUUUUUGAGGGAUAAUUAGCAAUGCUGAUGCUUUUGUGCCUGAAUAUAUAAGUAUUUUGAAUUUCUUAAUAUUCUGAUAAAAUAUGAAACAUAUUGUAUCAUUUCACUGUUUUCUUGUGUAUGAAUAAAUAAAUUGUCAAUUUGAAGAGAUACGUGGUCACUGCAUGUCGGUGUUUAAGUUAAAUACUUGUUAAUUUAUGCACUAUGAGUUUGAUGUUGCAGAUACUGGGUAACAGAAAUGCAUGUUGAUGGUUUUCGUUUUGACCUUGCGUCUAUAAUGACCAGAGCAUGCAGGUAAAAUGCUCUUCAGAUUUUGAUUGUAUAUUUCCUUUCAAGAAAUUUAUUAGAGUUAAACUUCUCUUUUACCAGCCUAUGGGAUCCAGUUAAUGUGUAUGGAGGACCAAUGGAAGGUAACAUGAUUACAACAGGGACACCUCUUGCUACCCCACCACUUGUUGACAUGAUUAGCAAUGACCCGAUUCUUGGAGGUGUCAAGGUAGCUGUUAUAUUUUAAUGUGUUAUCUAUCUACACUCACUACAAUUAGAAUCCAUUUCGCUGUUUUAAAGAUGGGUACAUUAUUAUGUAACAAAAUGAAGUUAGCUUCCGCUUGAAACUGACUGGCUGAUAAAUAUACAGAGUAGUAUAUAAUAGUUGACAACCUUGACAUAUUAUUGUUUCCUUGGGUGUUCGGUGUUCCCCUCACUACUUCCUCAAUUGUAAUUAUAGCUCAUUGCUGAAGCAUGGGAUGCAGGAGGCCUCUAUCAAGUAGGUCAAUUUCCUCACUGGAACAUUUGGUCAGAGUGGAAUGGGAAGGUAAGAACUGUAAUACUUUCAGCGGCUUAAAAGUAUGUUAGUUACUUGCUAAACAAGAAAUGGUGUCUUGUCAAAUACUGAAAUAGGUUUAAACUGAGACAUUUAAAUAAAGAAACUGAGACAUUUAAAUAAAGAAGUGCUUCUAUGCUGCCCCACCAAACAUUGCAGGGAUCUAAAAGCACAUAAAUGUUAGUUUCGUUAGAGGGAAAUUUGUAAUUUAGGAUGAUAAUUGGAUACAGUAUGGAUGCAACCAAAACCCACGUUCAGCCCCAAGUAGUAAAACAUACUUUAAGGGCCUGCUGAGCUCCAGCUUCAGUUUUUAAGCUCCUGAAGAAGCCCUAAACCCAUAGUUGAUUAUACUCUAGAGAAGCUGGCUCCUAAGAGGCUGAGCCUUAAACACUUAGGAAUUCAGAGCCUAAAGUGUUAGACCAUUUUUACCUGGCUCUGCAUGAGAAGUCCAGCUGACCAAAAAAAAAGGACCAUUCAACAUUUGUUUGACAAAAUUUCGUAGGAAAAGAGUGUUAAAUGUAAAGAAAGAUAACACUAAAUGAUUACUGAAAUGCAUGUUACAGACAAAAGCCUUACUGACAAUAUUAUUAAGUGUGCAUUUGUUUUUUAUCAGGGCAUGAUGCUGAUGAAUUUUUGAGAAUGUUCAUGUGAUCUUUUGGCUUUUGCAUUCAUCUUCAGCUAAUCCAACAUCUGCUGAAUUUCUCACUCUUUCUCUAUAGUUAUUUCACCAAAGUACUGACUUGUGUUGUUAUUUUCUCAGUAUCGUGAUACCGUGCGUCAGUUCAUCAAAGGCACAGAUGGAUUUGCUGGUGCUUUUGCUGAAUGUCUAUGUGGAAGUCCACAAUUAUACCAGGUAUGUAGCAUGAGUACCCAUCAGUGAGAACAGUGCUACAUGGCCUGAACAGAAUAUUUUGAAAAUUCUGGGUGGUGAAACAGGUAUACAUAAGUAACAAAAUAUGACAAUAGUAUAUAUUUCAGCCUUGAAGCAUUACAGAAGUUCCACAUUCCUUGCAUUAGUAUAUCCUUUAAGAUCCAACCUGCAAGUGAUGAUGCCGUGCCUUUCUUUGGGUGACUGUUGGACCUUUGCAAGCCAAGCCAUAUAUUUAUUUUUUCCUGGAUGAGAAGAAGUCACAUUGAAUGAUGUAAUACUAGCUUCAUGUAUACUUGAGGGAAACAUUAAUUGUAAAGUUCUGAAUACUUUGCUUUGUUACAAGAAAUAGGUGGCACAGAGUUUGUGUACAAGUAAUAGUGAAAUUCACAAGAGCUUGCUUUUUAUUAUCAGGCUGGCGGGAGGAAGCCUUGGCACAGUGUCAACUUUGUAUGUGCCCAUGAUGGGUUUACACUAGCUGAUUUGGUGACAUACAAUAACAAGUACAACUUGUCAAAUGGUGAGGACAACAGAGAUGGGGAAAAUCAUAAUCUUAGCUGGAACUGUGGGGAGGUAAUUCUGAAAUCUCAUGCUUCUGUGUCUCUUGUAACUUGUUGUCUAGUCAAAUUUCUGGCAAAUGACCUUGCGAUGGUUUUCUCCAUGGCUAAGCUAUCAGUAUCAUAAUGGUUUCCUACCAAAUGUUAUGGUUUGUAGAGACAAUUCACCUUGUAUACUGCAUAAGCAGUAAAUAUGUUUAAGCUAGGCUGCUCAUAAAAUCAUUAGAAUUUGAUGAACUCCUCUACCUUAGUGCAUAGUUAGAGACCUAUGCUAUGCAAAUUAUUUCAAACAAUGUAUUUCACUUCCAGCUAGUAUACAGAAUCGUCUCUUUAUAGUGCAUGACACAUUUUCAAUUUCAUCAUUUGAACAACGCAGGAAGGAGAAUUUGCAAGCCUGUCAGUCAGGAGACUGAGGAAGAGGCAAAUGCGCAAUUUCUUUGUUUGCCUUAUGGUUUCUCAAGUAAGAAUUAUUGUCUGAUCUUUAAGCGCUCUAUGGCUUGUGUUUGCAAGUGCCUAUUAUUCAGUGUAAAACUUGAGAUUGCAUUUGCAAUCAGUGGUUUACCAGAAAGUGUGUCAACGGUUCAAUCCUUGUGGUGCUUAGCCAACUAAUAAGGGUUACUAAGUUAUGUGACUGAUUACCAUAAAAGUUGUGUUUUUCAGAAGAAUAUGCCCUUCUGUAUCGAGCAUCCAAUCAGAUAUCUUCAUACACAGGAAAAUUAAGUUAAACAUAAAGAUAUGAUAAUGUUGGAUCAGUAAAUAAUUGGUCAUCAUCUACAUCAUUUGUCUGACUGAGUUUCAGUUUUUAUUUGUACAUGCUAAUCUAGGAGUAAAGUUGAAGUGGUGACAUUUUUGAAUUUUUGAAUCCUCAUUUUGGCUUCCUUCUAAAUUGUUUUCAUUUUUCAAUUUUUUAGGGAGUUCCAAUGUUCUACAUGGGCGAUGAAUAUGGUCAUACGAAGGGAGGGAACAACAAUACAUACUGCCAUGACCAUUAUGUUAGUGCAAUGAGAUCAUAUAUUAUUCUACUCAAUUUCCUUGACAUUCUUGCAAUUCUCCAUCUUGUUAUUGUUGUUAUGUAGGUCAAUUAUUUCCGUUGGGAUAAGAAGGAAGAACAAUCCUCUGACUUGUACAGAUUCUGCCGCCUCAUGACCAAAUUCCGCAGGUUAAUACUUUCCACUGAAUGGUCUGUGUGGAAAUAAUGAUAAUGCCUCUUUCUGAUUAUUUUUUUGAGAUUCUUUACCAACUCGUAUUGCCUAUGCAUUUCUCUUGAUGUGCACUACAGGGAAUGUGAAUCUCUUGGACUUGAGGACUUCCCAACUUCAGAACAGUUGCAUUGGCACGGUCAUCAGCCUGGAAAGCCUGACUGGUCGGAGGGGAGCCGAUUCGUUGCCUUCUCCAUGGUACAGAUAUAACGCACCACGCAUCACCACAUUUAUUUCAAAUUCUACCAUCAAGUAGAUCAAAUAGAUGUUUUCAAAAUGCAACGGAUGAUCUCCUCAUGUAUCUCUCACCGCAGAAGGAUGAAACCAAAGGUGAGAUCUACGUGGCCUUCAACACCAGCCACCUGCCGGUGGUCGUGGGACUUCCGCCACGCCCAGGCUUCCGAUGGGAGCCGGUGGUGGACACAGGCAAGGCGGCACCGUAUGACUUCCUCACCGAUGACCUGCCAGACCGCGCUCUCACCGUCAACCAGUUCUCCCAUUUCCUCAACUCCAACCUCUACCCUAUGCUCAGCUACUCAUCCAUCAUCCUUGUCUUGCGCCCAGAUGUUUGAGAGAAGCUUGGUGCAGUAAAGAGUAUAUAGGGUAUAGUUCUCUAGAAUGCCAUGGUAAAUGUUGGGUUUUGCUGUUGGUGGUAGUUUAUUAUGCGUUUGUAAAGCUGGUGGUUCUCAGAUAUGUUCGUCAGACUUGAGCAAGGAAAGCAGUGCCCGGUAAUUAAAUAAUGGUGAAUGUACAGGGUAUGCUGCCCCGAGGAAACGACUCCUCUGGCUCUUGCUCUUGCUCUUUUUACACCCGAUCACACGUGAAUCCUCGGAUCGUCAUAGCACCUUGUGCCCGCACGGCUAGGGAGUCUCCAAGCCUCACGCGGGGCGGAAAAAUCUAUGUUCGUGCCAUAGUGUUAAUUAUAAUUUUGAUGCAUACCAUUACUUUUGUAUAUCACUACUGUACAUAUAAAAUUUGUUUUGGUCAUACCACAUUAGUCAAAAUAUAUUAUAUUAAUAAAAAAGUGUUAAAAGAACCUACCACGUUCGCUGAUAGCGUCUAGAAAUUCCUAAGAAUUUACAACGUUGGAUUAAAGCUAAAGCUAUAACAAAGGUACAGAGUCUUCACAAUAUAAGAAUCUAUAUUUCCAUCUAUAUCUUGGCUUACAACAUAUAAUGAAAUAUUCCAUAUUCCAUGACCUAUACAUAAUUUGGAAAGAACCAUUCGUCUGCUUUGCAAUAUGGUAGUCUUAAGUCUUAACCAUCACUCGAUUGGUUUUAUUAUCUCAAUAGAGUGUUAAAAGAAGCCAUCAUAUUCGCCGAUAGGGUCUAAAAAUUCCCACGUUAAUCUAAAAAAUAGAAGAAUUUACACCGUUGGAUUUAAUAAAAAUCUAACGGUCUAAACUAACCAGAAGAAGAGUUCAUAACGAAUUCAAUGAAGAUGCAACGUUCUAAACUACCCAAAAGAGUUUGUAUCCAAUUAAAUCUAAAGCUAUAACAGAGCCUGUAGCAAAUACAGAAUCCGCAUGACAUAAAAACCUAUAUUUCCAUCUAUAUCUUGGCUUACAACAUGUAUCGAAAUAUUCCAUAUUCCACGACCCAUACAUAAUUCGGAAAGAACCAUCUAUCUACUUUGCAAUAUGGUAUUCCUAAGUCUUAACCAUCACUCGAUUGUUUUUCUUAUCUCAUCAUCAGUCGAACUUUUGUACGUCGAUAGCUUGCCCUUAGGCACCAAUUAGCAGGAGGUCGAUAGUUUUGGCGUAUCAGCGCGACGAUUGCGGCUGCCAUGGAGACGAGCGUGACGAGCUCCUCGGCACGGUGCUUCAGGAAGAGCAGGGGUUGGUUGGGCUCGUGGAGCCAGGUAGUCGAUAAGAUACGUAGGUAAAUGCAAUGACUCGAUGUGCAUGAGUGGAUAGGAUGAGAUGACGUAGGUUUUUCGAUUGUUUCAGCUAUGUAGUUUUCACUCGAUUUGUUUUGCCGACUCUUGCUCUUAAAAUCGAGUGGGUUUAGUGUUCCCUUCACUCAAUAUUCCAUCGCUGAACGCUGCUACAUGCAAUAAUCUUAAUUGGUAAGAAAUUUGAUUGAGACAAGAAAACAAAAGCACUCGAUUGUUGUGUAGUAAGUCCCUUGCGAUGACCAACAAUCAGAGUAAGUCUCCUAACAGUCUCUUAACAAGGUCCGAAUAUAUUUGUCUAGACAGGUGUUCUGCCAUGGCCAGUUGUAUGUGGGAUUAUCAAAGGUGACAAACGCAAUGGGAUUGAAGGUGCUAAUCGAUGAUCUAGAAUGUCCAAAAAAUAAGGCUAAAAACAUUGUCUACAAAAAAAGAUCUUCUAAUCAGUAGUAGAUGCAUGCUCUGCAUAUUUAAAUAACUAUCUUCUAAUCAGUAAUAGAUGCAUGCUCUGCAUAUUUAAAUAACUGCACGGCAUAAUCCUCCCAUGAAAUAUCAUCUCAAACAUAAUCAUCUUCGUCAACGAGAAUAUAUAAUCAGACAUUGCUACAAAAAUAUAUCAGCAAGGUAUCAUAAUAGUGGAUAUAUACUAUAAAACAAAUAAAGCUUACGUAUCAGACUUAACAUAGUAGUACAUUAAAAUAUACAAUGAAAAUUUAAGACAUAUGGCUCAUGUUAAGCAAUCAUUUAAAAAAAUAAAAAAUGCUCUACGGCAAACCAACAAAAAUCUUGCCUACAAUCACAAUAAAUAUGCUGCUCCUCCCUAAGAUAUUUUACAAAUAACAUUAACUUAAAGAUGCCAAAAAACAGAAGCAGCUUGUGCCAGUCUCAGGAUGGCGCUUGCGGGGUUGCGCGUCCUGGCUUGGGCACAAGCUAGGGGCAGCGGCGGCGGGACAUUAGCAAAAGCGCCUCAUCUGGGACCACCGGAUUUUGGUGCAGCUAGGGGUGCGGGAGGGAGGGAGCAGUGGUGAAACAACAUCAGCGUCCGAGCAGACGACCAACAACGGCGGAGGCAGCACAACAGCUGCUCAGGGACAGGCAAAGCAGAGCCGCAUCUGGGCAGGUGUGGGUCAGCGUAGGGAAAGGAUAAAAAAGGAGUAAGGUUGAACGGAUAAGGAAGGUAGAAAAAAAGGAGAAGAGAAAAGGAAGGUAGGAAAAAUGAGAAAACGAGAGGAAAAAGAAAAGGAUAAAAUAAAAAUUAUUAAUUUAAUCUAUAAGUAUAUUCAUUAUUAUGUUAUUUUAUAUGAAAUCAUAUUAUAAGUUGUAGGAAAAUAUAAAAUUCAUCUGUAUAAUGAGUCAUAUAGUUAGGGGCACAUUGGACAUUUGACAUAUUCCAUGUAUUAAAAAAAUAGGAAAAGCGGUUCUACUAAAUAUUUUUUAAAAUGACUCUAGCUCUAUUAGAGAAGCCGCUCCAUCAGAGAAGUCACAGUCGAAACUGUUUCAGCCACAACUGGAACUCUGCCAAAGUAAUUCUAAGUCGAUAGCCUAUGAUACAUUAAAUAAUUUCAACGGCCGGUACCACAGCUCAUCUUCGCUUAAAGAAAAAAUAGCAAGCUCUGAGGUGCAAUAUAAACAAAGCAACUAAGUCGAACUAAACAGAGAACUUCUCCAUUACAUGCAUCCUACGCGAAACGCUAUAUAUAUGUAUGUAUGCAAGUUUUGCAUCAAUAGGUGAAAAUAAGUAAACAUAAUAUAAUAUCUUUUGACCGAAGUCAGCAGGAGGCCCUAACCCAUUUUUAAAUAUAACUUUUAAUUUAAUCUAUAAUCUUUUUAGUUCGUUCCUAUAAUGAGUCAGAUCUAAGAUCGGCCGGAUAUUACUCGGGUGCUCUAACAACUAGAGUAGAUAUUUUUUUCGCUAAAUAAUAAUUAAAAUAUUGUAAGGCACAAAUCAAAGUGCAACAUCUAAGUUACAAGUUGUUGGCUUUGACAACAUCACUAACACAUACAUUUAAAUAUAUUUAAUAACUAUAUAUGAAAACUUUGUACAAUACAAACCUGUAUUCAAGUUGACCCCAUAUUACAAUUAACCAUCAAACUUAGAUAUUACGUGCUAAUAUGCGUCCAUAUUUAAGGUGACCCAAUAUUAAAUUGAAUCAUCAUAUUUAGAUUUUGCAAGUUAAAAGUAUUAAACUAUGAAAACAUGAUAUAGAACGAAACAACUUGAAAAUCGAUGAUUGAUAUGAACCCCUGCACAUAGAAAGUUGCAGGUAAUAUUUAAUGAGAGCGAAUGAGAGGUAAAUAAAAUACCAAAUACAUCUCUUCUAUUUAGAUUAAAAAAAUAAAAAAGAACUAGCUACCCGUAUUAUUAGCGCGGGCCACCUUGCUAGUAUGAUAGAAGCAAUGGUAAAUAUUGACAGUUGAAACCGUAAUUGAUGCAGUGAUGCCAACCUAAUUUGUCCAAUCUUCUUGUUGGAAAGAAUGCACAUGCUGACAUGCAUAUGGAUCAAUAUGUUUAACAAUAACUCAUCAGGUGGUCGCAAACGUUGCUGCAAUUGCCAAUGCCAUGGUUUAAAUCCUGAUGUGAAACGAAAUUAGGAGGUCGAGGCAAUCCCAGCAGCCGUCGUUGUGUGGUGCGAGGAGCUGGUAUCCUUGUAACCUCCUUCGAAAUGGAAUUCUUUGUCUGGACGAUGGAGAAGCAAAAUGAAUUUUCUGCUCCUCUCUUGGAACGUAGUCGUCUUUCGCGAGCGUGUCUCGGCACGUUUUUCGCUAAGAUCUUGUUCGAUUAAUCCCCUCCACAAGAGGAUUGGAAUGAUUUUCCCAACCUGUCUAAUCCCUUUCGAUUCCCUUGCGACCGAAUAAGGUCUAAGAGGGAGUGGAUUAUCCUCAGUCCUCACCAACGAGAACACAAACAGGAAGGGGUGAGGACGAAUUCUUAAGACGGUGGGGGCGGUGGAACACCCGAUCUUUAAUAGAUUGAAUGUGUGCAAAAGGCUGAGAAAAUACAUAUCUGAAUUACAUGAAUGAUUUUGACAUUUACCACAGUCGAUAAGGAUUUGGAAGAAAAUGAAUCAAAAGAGUCAAAAAAAAAAACUAGUUUGGCUGUCUCCUCUCUACUGGCACAUGUAUCUACUGAAAUUACGGUGCUAAUUAAAAGGCAUGCCCUUGUACAUUAUCCCCGAUAGGUGAGGCAUGUAUCUAUCCUUUUUUAUUGGUUUUGUUGAUUUAAUUGAUCGACGCGGAAUAGAAGCGACCAAGUCAAGAUACUCCCCACCUUGUCCGCAACGUUUCUGCAGGUCGGGGCAGCCCCCUAUUGUCAGGGUCUUCAGGGUUGGGACCCGCUGGAGCAGACCCUCCGGGAAUUUCUGAAUCUUUGGGCAUUCUCUGAUCGUCAGUGCCUCAAGGGAUGUGAGGCCAUCCAUCCCAUCAGGCAGCGGUCGUAGCUGAUGGCAGCCCAGCACACAGAGCUCCUUCAGCUUCGCAAGAUUUCCAAGGUCUGGAGGCAGCGCCACCAUACUUGUGCAGCGUGAAAUGUCUAGCUGCUCGAGGGAUGCGGGCAACAUGGGGAUCCUCGUCAAGCUGUCACAAGACACUAUCGAUAGCCUUUCGAGCUGGAGCAGGGGAAGGGUUUCCUCGGAUGAUGAGCCCUCCAAGACCUCCUGCCCUAGGUUGGUGCAGUGCGAAAUGUGCAGAGAUCGAAGGCGAGCGAAGCACCGGAGCUCCACCAGUGGCCAGCGGACAAUGUUGGAGCAGUUUGAUAUAACCAAUUCUUCUACAGCAGUAAAACAGUCGAGAUGUGCUGGCAAACUGAAUGUUGAUACGAAGCCAUAGUCACCUUUCACCUCCAAACUUCGAAGGGCCUCCAAAGGUCUUGGGCUUUGGCUUUGCUGGUCCUGAUCUGGGGGGAACACCACCAUGUUUGCCAGCAAACCAACUUUCAAGCUAGCAAGCGAUGGCCAAGAGUACAAAGGCAUGCUCAUAGAAACUAGCUGAUCUUCAGUGUAACUGAUGCAUACUAGAUGUGUGAGAACUGGGCUCUCCGGGAGAGUUGAAAGCUUAUAGCAGUCGUAGAUUAUGAGCUCUUCAAGCUGGAGAAAAACAAUGGAGCCAUUCAGCUCCCCUGAACUGUUUCCUGCCCAUCUCUCUAGCUCUGGUAAAUACGAUAACUCCAUCCUCUUUAACUUCGGAAAAAUGAGCAAAGAGUUACUGCAUCCUUCAGCUUCGACAUCGAUGCCAUGGCAUAUCGUGGUCAGGCUGACCAUGUUGGAUAAAGACAAAUGUUCAAGGGAAGAUGACAACCAUACUAUCGGUAGAUCCUUGCAUCUUGGGCAGUUGGAAACAAUAAGUUCUCUCAAGUACUGAAACAUUUGAGGGUCUCUCAUCCACUGUGAUAUUUCAUGGCCACCAUAGCCAUAAAUUUCUAAAAUUUUGAGACCGCCAUAAGGUAAAAGAGAUUCCAGUACUUCUACCUCACUGUUGACCUCACCUAUUUUAGGAAUAUCACUUACUUUGCGGCCCCAAUACAACGAGAGUUCACUUAGAUUCUGUUUCUCAUGGAGGUUGGCCUUCGACCCACUCUUCACUUUACUCAGAUUGUACAGUUCCAACCUGUUGCUAAGCUGUCGCAUGUCUUGGAGCUCCUCAAUCCCACAACCAUCUUCAGUGUCCACAACAAAGGUUGUCAGUGUGCGAAGGUUGUGCAGUAAGCUAAGUUUCGAAGGCAUUCGUACCAAACUACCACAUUCCAGAAGAUUAAUAUGUCUGAGCUUCUUCAUACUUGUCAUACCUUCAGGUAAAUACGUAGCAUGGAGCAUGAAGAAGGGAAACACUGGAGAUAGAUCAACUGCACCCCUUGUAUUGAUCAUGAGUUACAUACUUAUACAUGCUCUGGGUCAUGGCUGGAGCGAGUCAGGCGGUAGCGAACGCUAAGCGAGCGGACGACGUGCGCGCGGCUGCGCGUGAUCUGCGGAGAGCGCGUCUCACGGGCGUGCGAGGGCGCAGGGUGCGCGCAGCUGUGCCGUUGUGGAGCGCGGCCGUUGCGCCGAGAAGGAAGCCAGCCGUUCAACAGAGCAGUAAUUUAGCUUCAGUGACUCCAAGUGAUAGAGCGUGCAUACUGAACUUGGCAGUCUAAAAAUGCGGGACCAAGAAAGAUCAAGAUACCGUAAACGUACUGUAUUAGUGAAGUUGGUAGGGAUAAUUGAAGGAUCAUAGCAGUAACAACACAGCGCUCUUAACGACCCCAGCUUUGACUCCAUCAAGUCCUGGUAUGACAUUGAUGGCAUCAACAGAGUUCUGAAAGGUAUUGCGCCUUUGAUGAAUAAUAAUCCCCUGGUUUCUCUUGAGUACUGAAAGAUGUUGCUGCUCUCGUUUGCAACAUCUUUUGCUAGGUCAUGCAUUUUACACCCAUCUGACUCUUGUUUCAAGCCAUGCCAAUAACGGGACGCCUUCACUAUUUUCACAUGCUGAAGAAAGGACCUCCAGACCAAAUAAUCGAAGAUGAAUUCACCUUUCUGCUCCAAAUCAUCCGUCCCAUCCUCCUGAAUGAAUCCGUUUGCUGUCCACAGUUGGAUCAAUGUUUCCUUAUCCAUCUCAUGGUCCUUGGGGAACACCGCACAGAAAGCGAAGCACUGCUUCAUUUCAGAGGUCAGCUGCUUGUAGCUCAACUUGAGUAUGGAUAUGAUUUCAUCUUUGCCACUAUUGGUAUGGCCCAAGUUGGUGUCCGCAAUGGUCUCCCAGUCUCGAGCCUGCUGCUUUGAGCUCAUCAAGCCACCCAUUAUCUUCAGAGCAAGAGGAAGUCCCUUGCAUUUGUCGACGAUACGUCUACCAGCUGCAGCUAACUCGGCUUGUUCUUGCACGCCCUUGCUGAAAGCUUUCAUUGAGAAUAGUUCCCACGAAUCGUCCUCGCUCAGACAUGACAGCUCGUAGGGUGGAAGGGUGCCCAUUAUGCAGGCCACCUUUUGGCUUCUGCUGGUGACAAGUAUGAUGCUUCCCGACCCACCGAUCGAAGAACACAGCAGUGGCUUCAGGUCUUCCUCCCACUUCGGCUGCUCUUCGUUCCACACAUCAUCAAGGAUCAGCAGGUACCUCCUCCGACCAAUUUCUUGCUGCAGACGUCCCUGCAAUAGCUCGAAGGUGUCGGGCAGAUCGCACCUCCCUUCCGUGGCCAACUCGAUGAUGGAUUUCACGAUGGGGCAGGCGUCAAGGUUCGCCUGCGACACGCAGUGCCACAUCCUCAGCUCAAAGUGCUUCUGAACCCUGAGGUCGUUGUACACCAUCUUGGCAAGCGUCGUCUUCCCCAGACCCCCCAUCCCGACGAUGGGCAGCACCUGCACCGCGUGCUCGCGCCGUUGGCGGAGCAGCAUCUCGACCACCACCUCCCUGUCGCCCUCCCUCCCGACGAUCUCCGCCGAGUCGUCCAGCGCUGAGUGCGUCUGCCGGAACGCAACCUGCUGGGGCUCCUUGCGCUCCACCAACCCGAACGUGUUCAUCUCCUUGACAAGACCGUUGAUCCUGCCCAGCACGCCCCUGAGCUCCCAGCUCGCUCUGAGGCGGAACCAGAGAGGGCUGCCCAGGACGUUGAGGUAGCCGAUUACCUUGCGGGAGGUGGAGUUGCUGCCGGCGCCGGCCUGGGCCUCCCGGCGGAGCGCCUCGUACUCGAAGCCGUCGAGGACGUCCUCCGCCUUGCCGGCGGCGGCCCGGAGGUCCUCCAUCCACCACUUGAUGGCGGGCUUGGUCUCGUUCUGCGCCUCCGCGUCGACCAGCAGUGACUGCACCGCCAGCAGCUGGCGCUCCAGCUUGCCGCGCUCGCCGUCGACGCCCCACAUGCGCGUGACGCCCUCGACGACGGCGUCGGCAGCCUUGCCGGCCACCCUGCCCACCAGGGGCAGGAGCAGCGACCCGGCCAUGCUAGCCAGCUUGCUCCUACUCCUGUCUUGCUCGCAGACAGUCCUGCAGUGCGCGUGCAUAAGAGCGACGAGGAACUACUCGAGUCCUGUGUUAUAUGCGCGUUUUAUUCACCGCCGCAAAUGAGGAUUUUGCCGAGUGCCGAGUGUCCAAAGAGUGUAAAAUAUCGGUCACUCGGCAAAGAGGAUCUUUGCCGAGUGCAGAAGAAAACACACGGUAAAUUCAUCCUUUGCCGAGUGUCUGGCACUCGGCAAAAUAAAACACUGGGCAAAGAAAUUUUUGCCGAGUGUCGAGCACUCGGCAAAGGUUGACACUCGGCAAACGCGCGCCAGGACGUAAAGGUAGUUAACAGCGUGAGUCUUUACCGAGUACCUAAGCCAAGACACUCGGCAAAGAUGCAUUUUGCCGAGUGCCAAGGCAAGACAGUCGGCAAAAUAUACAUAAUUUUUUUCUUUAUUUUAUCUAAAUUUUUUUCUAUUGCCAUCCUACAUUCUCCUCAACAAAAUAUGUAAUUUAGGUUCAUUUAUCGAAGUGUUUGCUAUAUUUUAACAAUUUAUUUCAUUUUAUUAAAUUUCUUGAAAAAUUCAAAUUUGAACUGCGUGGUCAUUCGAAUAGUGGAAAAAACGAAUGAAAAAUUGUUAUUCAUGUUAAUGAGUAUGCUUUGAGGCCUUAUCGAAGAAAGGACCAGAAAUUUCAAACCUAUUAUUCACGAAACAUGGCGACUAAAUUGUGUUCAAGUCGUGUUUAAAUUGUAUAAAAGGCAAAUUUGGUCGGAAAAUUAUAAAACUUAUCGAGAUGUCAUGUUAUUAUGUUAGGACACUUUGAUAAAAUUUGUAUAAGAUUUCGUAAAAAUUUGACAUCUACGAUGCUUAACACCUAAUCGGGUUUCACAUAAAAUCAUACAUCUCUUUGGAGAACUUUCAAUUUGUAAGCAUCAUAUAUUUUAACUUUCACGAAACCUCGUCAGAUUUUUAUCACAGCUUUCCCAUAUGAUAUCAUUACAUCUCGACAAGUUUCAUAAUUUUCGGACCAUAUUUGCUUUUUAUAUAUUUUAAAAAUAACUGGAUAAGAAGUUCGUCGUCAUGUUUCGUGGACAACAAGUUUAAAAUUUCUGAUUUUUUUCUCGAUAAGGUCUCAUCGCAUCCUUCAAUAACGUGAAUAUCAUUUUUUCAUUCAUUGUUUUCCAUUAUUCGUGUGACUUGUAGUUCAAAUUUCAAUAAGCACAGGAAAUUCAAUAAAUUGAUAAAAACAUGUGAAUUAUUUGCCGAGUGCCGCUGAUCUGGCACUCGGCAAAUCGGGGCCUUUGCCGAGUGCCCAAGAUCUGGCACUCGGCAAAGGUUUUGAAUUAACGCCCGCGCGGCUCCCUCCACCUUAUCCACACACGCACUUGCACUCUAGCUGUACCGCCGCCCCGCCCCCGACCCCGCCGGCUCCGCGGCCCCGCCCCCGCCGCCGGCCGCGCCCUCGGCCCGCGCCCCCGCCCCCGCUGCCGGCUGCGCCCCGAGCCGCGCCCCCGGUUUGUGGCAGGUAGUGCUAUGUUUGCUAUGGUUUGUGGUAUUUUUUUAUCUUCAUUUUUGAAAAUUAGGACGUAUAUAAUAUGUGCUAACUUAUGUUUCUCUAAAAAAGAUUUAUGUAGUAUGUCAAUAUCAAGUUUUUAUAAUAAUUUAAACACGGAUUCAUCCAUGUGGCGCAGGAGGAGGAGGAGGAGGUGAAGGAGGAGGACGAGGCGCAACAGACCGCCUCUGGUUCUGGUGCCUCUGGUUCGUCGAGCGUCUACUUGCGAGGUAAGAACUUUUAUAUGUUUUCAUUGCUUAUUUAUGUUAUAUGUUCAAAUUUAAAGUUGAAACUAAUAGUUUUUCUUAAUCACAUGUACAGGUCCCGCCAGUCUCCCUAAGCGACCGAUACCUCGUGAGAGGCGCCCGUUGAUUCGACCCGAAGGGGAAAAGUAAGUAACUUUUUAUAUUUUCAUUUCUUUUUCUUGUUAUAUGUUUAAAUUCAAAGUUGAAACUAUUAAGAGGUCUUAAUCAUUUGUGCAGAUCCUGGACGAUUGUGCAGAGUGCAGGUGCUGCUCACAAACGCUCCGUCAAUGGCAUCCUCGGUCUUCUGUGCAGGGAACACUUCCCUGGCCUGGUUGAGUACGGUGGACUGACGGAGCCAGCUGUAACGCCCCGAAAAUUCACUUAAUUAAAUCCUGCGCUAGAUUAGUUCGUAAAAACGACUCGAUGUCAAAACCCUAACUCUAACUGAUCGCUCUGCGUCACGCGCGACCGCCCAUCGGGAUUAGCGCCGGCGCGACUUCUUUUCCUCGCGCGAAUACCGCGCGCGUGGCCGACCGGCCGCGGCUGCGGCCGCGAUUGGCGCCGACGCGUCUUCUUUUCCCCCCCUCACUGUUCUCCUCGCGCUGCGCGUUUCCCAGCGCGUGGCCGACCGGCCGCGGUCACCGCCGCGACCGGCGCCGGCACUCCUUCCCUCCCUCUCCCUCUUUUCUCUUUCUCUCCCUAUUUCUUUUCUUCCUUUUUCUUUUCCUUCCCCUUUCUUUUUCUUCCUUCCUUCUUUUCUCUUUUCUUCCUUCCCUCCCUUUCUUUUCCCUUCCUGUUUCCCCCUCCGAGCUCCCGAGCUGCGUCGCCCUGCCUCACCCCGGCCACGCCGCGACGCGCGCACGCACCGCGCGUGGCCGCGCGCCGCGCCGCGCCGUCCUCCGCUGCCGCGCCUCGCGACGUCGCGCCGCGCGCCGCGCCGCGCGCGCACGCGCACGCUCUGUUCCCACGCACCCACCGCUGCCGCGCCUGCCCCAUCGCGCGCGCCGUCGCUCUGGCCGCACAGCGCCGCCCACGUGCCCGCACCCUCACCUCGGACCCGCGCCCCGCCGCGCUGCGCGCGCACACGCAAGCCUUGUCCCACGCGUGCCGCGCCGCCCGCUGGCACCCCGCGUCCGCCGCCGCUCGCUCCCCUGUGCGCGCCCGCGCACGGCGCCGCUGCCCCCCCUGCUGCACCGCCCUGUGCUCGCACAGCUCCCUCCCCACGUGUCCUACAACGCCUCGGCGUCCUCCCCGCCACGCCGUGACGCGACGGCCGCAAGCGGCCGAGCGCCAUUGAUUGCGCCCGCACCGCCCGCCGGCCGCCACUGCCUCGUUUCUCUCCGCCUCACCGGCCUCUUCCCCUAUAAAUACCCCCCCAACGUCGCACUCCACCAUCACGACCACCACCGCCGCCCCUAUCCUUCUCCCCCUGUCCCUAGCGCCGCCGCCGCCUGUGACCCUGUGCCGCCGCCCCUGCUUCCGUGGGCAGCCCCCCCUCGCUGCGACCCGAGCCAAGGUGAGGCCGGGGAUGGGAUCCCCGUGCCCCCCUCCCUCUCAUCCCCCAUUCCCCCGAGCCGCCCAUGGCCCGGCCGGCCGGAAUUUGGCCGCCGGCGCCCCCCCCCUCAACCCCUCCUCUGUUCUGUACGGGGAGAAGGGGGAAGAUGAUGGCAAAAUUGCCACAAGGCCCCUGGCCUUUUUCCUUUUCUCCCAAAAUGAGGACCCCCCUUUUUAACUACCUUUUUGCAAAAGAAACCCUAUCCUUUCCAGCUUUUCAAACCAAACCCCUCCAUUACAUAAACCUAGAUGUACCCGACACCUUUAGCAGGUCCUGAGUAUUUCUAGAAAUUCGCGAUUAGGCCCUUACCCCCUCCAGAUAAUUACGUGUAGGCCCCUGGAGCCCUGUUUAACCACCCGAACCUCCUUUAGCUCGACAUUUUAUGUGCGAAACGACCUCCGAUCGAACCGAAACUUUACCACGCCCUUUCUAGUAUAGUUCUAGCCAUGCCAUUAAGAAACCACCCAGAGAUAUUGCCCCGACCUCCGUAACUAAAUUAUUUCCGAUUCAAGCUCGACGAUAAAAGCUUUUACUUCUUGUGCUUGAUUGUGUGCCUGUUUGAUUGCGUCGUAGGACACGGAGUGAACGAGGAAGGACCCGAGUGUGACCAAGCAAACGAGGAUCAGUACUGCGACCCCGAACCCGAGGGACAGUGCUUCGACCAGGACUUCUCGCAAGAGUUUGAUGAUGGCAAGUUCCAUUCCGCCCUUUGAUGCAUGUUUCUGUCCUAGUUUUUAUAAACACAACCCAGUGGCCUGUUUUAUAAAAUUGCAUGGUUUUGCGUGCUGAAAACAUGGUAGGAUAGCCACCCUUGUUUGAGAUAACCCUACCUUGACCACCUGAUUUUAUAAAGAAAAUGUGUGUGUGUGGGAAGGGAUACAAUGUGGUUUUGAAAGACGAGUUAGACGGGAUGGAUGGCAUUUCUGUGUGAAUUGCCGUUGGUGUGCUCGUACCUGUGUGGUUGAGCGAGGAAGGGAGAUAUCCAUCCUGUCACCCCUAAGGACCGAGUUGAUGUGACAUCUCACCUAGCUUUUUGUCGUGCGAACCACUUGACCGUUGUAUGGGCAACGGCUUAGCAUAAAUCCCACUAGUUAGCUUGAUAGCCAUCAGGAGAGCUGAGAGCAACGGGUGACCAAGGAGACGGGAUAAGCUCUGUGUGACUUAUGCCCCGGUUAAACCUCGGAGAUAGGUCGAAUGACCCCUUGAUGGAUCCCGUGAUGGCUAGUCAGGUCUAGCUAAGGUGGGUAAUGGCUUUGAUGGGAUCUGCACCGGCACUAAGGUGUUCGUGCUGUGGUACCCCACCUGUGGGUAAAGUUGCACACCUCUGCAGAGUUAAAACCUAUUCGAAUAGCCGUGCCCACGGUAUUGGGCAAGUUAUGGUGUGGUCACAUAACUAGUGAUUCUCUCUGGGAAUGAAUGGGCUGGCGUGAGUUGUUUGGAAAGUGUCCGGCAGUUGUGCCGUGUGCUACGGCGGACGGGGAGUCCGGUAGCAGUUUAAAACUUGGAUCCUGUGUGGAUCAAAAUCGUGUGCUCCUUGGUAUUAGAAAACUCGUUUUGGAAAUCGUUUUUAAACGAACCCUUGCAUACAGUUGAGUUUUUCACAAAUGAACCAUAACCUAUCCUUGGAUUGUCCUGUGCAUAUGAUUACUGUUAUACCCCCUCCGUGGGUGUGAUUGGACUUGCUGAGUACGUUUGUACUCACCCCUCUCUUACUUUUACAGUGGAAGACCCAGACUACAUCCCCGAAGACAACGAGUAGGGUUUCGUCCUGCACCCAGUCUUGCCUGUGGUUGAGGCCACCGUUGAAUUCCGCAUGGCGCAAGACUCUGAUGAUCCUUUGUUCGUAGCUAGUAUAGUUGUGUGGGUUUUGGUUGUAAUCCUCGCGAUAGUGGCGCUUCACUGCCCAUUACCGCGUAGAGUUGUAUGGUGAUGUACCAUCUGAUGUAAUAAAAGUGUUAUCAGCCUCCUGGGACUGAUAAAUCAACACUUUUAAGUCUUCCCUGAUGGGGGGACGCUUCACCAGCCUAUACGUUCGACCACUACACCGCCGCCCCUGAUGCUGAAGAUCGGGAUGGCAGGGUAUUCAACAACAGGGCGGAGCGGGUGAAACAAGAGCUGUGGGUAAGUGCUAAAUACAUUGCAUUCAUUUCACAUUCUUAAAAAAAAUUAAUGGUAUACAUCGUGUUUGCAUGCAGGAUUUCUUCAGAUGUGAGGAUGGAUUUCAGGACAAAGCUGAUGUGGUGGCUACUAAAGUCUUUAAGAAACGAGUCGUGGAUAUGCACUAUGAGACGCGUAUCCAAGCCAUUAUUAGUUUUCACGGCUCCGUUCUUGGAGAGAAGCUCACCAAAACGGAAGCAAGAACCAUAUCUUUGACUGAGGAGCAGUACUUGCAGGUAAAUAAACAAAAUUAAUAUGCAUUUUUUUACAUUAAGAAGGCUUAAUUUCAUCUUCUAAUAUGUCAAAUACUUGAUGCCCUGUAGACGACUCCUUAUUGGUGCCUCGGGCAUCAAGAGUGCUGGCGACAGAUGGUGCACAAGUGGUGCUCCGACAAGUGGGAGGAGUCGCACAACACUUGUCGGGAGCGGCGUUCGAUGAUGCCAGGUGUAACACACCAUCAAGGCAGUCGCAGCCUCAGCGGAUACGCAGAAGCAUGGGUACGCGAAUGAAUUUAUUUAAUGUAACACUCAAUUAUGCAUGAUUUCUAAUCGUCUUGCUUGUUUUCUUGCGGUCGUCGUCACAUGGUGGCCAGCCUUGCUCCCUCUUGAAGGCAUAUGCUAUGUCCCACAAGGGCAAGGCGAUGUCUGACGUCAACUACAAUCCGGAGGAUGGGCCCGAGGCAUACAGCAAACCGAUGGUCCAUACCCGCCUCAGUGCGUACACAACGAUGGCAAGGGAGGUUCAUGGUCUAGAGUUUGAUCCGGCCACCGAGGACCUUGACGGAGAAGUCAUCAUGAGGGUUGGAGGAGAUAAAAAUCAUGGGCGGUAUUGGAUUGCAGACGGCGCAAUCGACUCGUCCUCUACUCCUACUCUAUCUCAGAUUAGAUCAAGGAGCACGAGUGCGAGCCUAGGCAUACGACCUCAGCAAGACACUUCACAGUACCGGAUACAGGCAUUCCAGGUCAUUUCUUCUUUAUUCGUCGUUCAUUGAUUAUUGUAUACCAUUUCUUUGUAUUAUCAUAUCAUUGGAGUGAAAAUUUUGCAGGCCCAAUUAGAAGAAGAGAGGAGGCUACGUGUGGAGAACGAGCACAGGAUGAGGGAUAUGUUUGCCUACAUGCAGACUCUUGGUGCUGUAGCGGGUGUAGCUCCGUCACCUUCGUUGUUUGCUUCACCUCGACCUCCUACUGAGUUUUCUACUCCUGUGAGUAUGGAUAAGUUUUAGCUAUGUCUGACCUUUAUUUAUCUUGUCUCACACAUGCGAUCGCUUCUCCUCUUUGCAGAAUCAAUCGGCGGCCUCAAAUGAGCCUCAUGCUUCUCCAACUACGCCGGGUUGGAGGUCGCCGGGUUGGAGGUCUUGAUCAUGAUUUUUAUCACUUAUCCUGUUUCCGUAGACUUCUCAUAUUUUUUGACAUCUCAUGAUUAUAUGGACUAUAUUGUGAGACAUGCAUAUUUGUGGUCUGUAAUGAUAAUAUGUUUGUGAACCGGUUUGGGAUAUGUAUGUGAAUCGAUUGUGUUUGUAAUAUAGAUGUGAUGUUUGUGAUAUAGAUGUGAUGUUCGUGGUCUUUGUGAUGAUAUAUGUUUUUCUGAUAUAUAUGUGUGGAUGAAAUAGAAAAAAUAUAUUAAAAUGGGUAAUUCUGAAGAAUCUUUGCCGAGUGUUUGCACUCGGCAAAAUCUGAAGAAUCUUUGCCGAGUGUCAGGUCCAAGGCACUUAGCAAAGAAACAAUAUUUGCCGAGCGCCAGGCAUCUGGCACUCGGCAAAGACUACUUCUUUGCCGAGUGCAAGGUAUUUGGCACUCGGCAAAGUAACCAUCUUUGCCGAGUGCCUCAGCGCCGGCGCUCGGCAAAUAUUAUUUCUUUGCCGAGUGUCGAGAACCUGGCACUCGGCAAACCGUCCGUUAUGUCCCUGCUCCGUCACGGCGCUUAAAUUUUGCCGAGUGCGGGACUUUGCUCGGCAAAGACUUUGCCGAGUGCCCGACGAAAUGCACUCUGCAAAGUUCCCUUUUCCGACAUUUUCUCUCCCGUGUGUCCUUUGCCAAGUGCAACACUCGGCAAAACUUUUGCCGAGUGUUUUUGGACCUUUGCCGAGUGUUUUGGACACUCUGCAAAGUAGCCAUUUCCCAUAGUGAUUUGCAGCGCAUAUCGUUGGAGUAUCAGCCAUUCUCGACCUCUAAACCGAGGCAACUGGCAGUGUAGCUCGUGUACAUUGCUCUUCGGAUUCUCCGACGCUAGCUUCCGGUACAAUGUCAUUGGAUAGACCAUCGGUGUUCACCAUUGCCUUCGGUUUCAUAGAACAUCUACCACCAUCUGCGAUACCCAAUUCGUUGUUCUAUAUUUGUCUCGGCUUGACCUGAAUUCUGAAUAAAGAAACUGUUUCGUGCCAGACAGAGGAUUGAAAACCAGAUGCUGGAUGGUGGAAGAACAUCGAUAACACACACACAAAGCUCCAUAGAAUGUUAAUCUGCAAAUCUUGUUCGAGUGUUAAUCUGCAAAUCAUGUUCGAGUGUUUUGGACGGAACAACAAAUGUUAAGCGAAUUUGUGGUGUCAUGGUAAGUUAUAAGUUAGAACAUCUUAAAUGUGUGUUGAACCUGGUCUGGCAGCGUGUGCUGCGUUUGGUGUCGGUGUCUUUGUCGUUGUUAAGUGUGUGUUGGCAGCUUAAAUGCUGGGUUUGUAAGACUUGGGCUGUAGGCAUUCAUCCUUGAAUGUUCAAGGCCGAAACUUUUCCUCAAUCUAAUAAAAAUAAGUUAGAACAUCUGGAGAAUUUAGCACUAGGCUGCAGUACACAUGUAUGACCCUAACAAAGCAAGCCUGUAAAAUGGACUAAGAAAGAUGGACAUGAUUCGGCUCCCGAAGACCAUAUCAUAUUCUGCAUACUGAUAGUUUCAGAAGACCACGCUAGGCGAACAGCACUUGCCUGACAUUCGGAUUCAGAGCAUGUAACUGUACAGACUACAGAGUGUGCUGUACACCCUGUUGACAGAUGAUCCACAACGCAGUCAUCAGGAGGAAAGAAAACGUAAUGCAGAAGAAUUGUUCGAGGUGAUCAAAUAUUCAGAUAGUCAGGGCCCGUCAUGACUCGUUGCUCUCCGGGUAGGUGACGCACUUGUACACCCUGCAUCUCGGGCACAGGAUGAAACCCGCCUGCGACGACGACGCAGGUGCGUUCAUCAGAAUUCAGAAAAGAAGAAAAAAAGAUGCAGGAAGUGGUUGGAAUGAACAAGACUCCAGAAAAAAAUAACAGUCACGCACGGCUUUGCAGGUCGGGCAGCGGCGGUACACGCGGCUGCCCUCGGACUUGACGUUGUUCUUCUUCCCCUUGCAGAAGUCGCAGAGCAGCCACCCCGCGCCGCUGCACGCUUCGCACGCUACACCUUCUUCCUUGGAACAAGAUGCACGGGGAAAACAUGAGCUGGCAGGCACGAGCGCGGCGGUACGGCACCAUGCCGUGCAGCGCGAACAGCAGCUAGGAAUGCGCGAGAUUACUGACCUCAGUGCCGUCGGCGACCACCGGCGGCGUGGCCUGCUCCGCCUCCGCAGCCGCGGCAAGCUCCCUUGGCACGGACGCGCAGCCGAUCCUGCCCUUCCUCCUCGCCCGCCGCCGCGGCGGCACGGCCGGCGCCGGCGCCCGGCACGGUGGAGGCAGCGGUGAGCUGCGGCGCCAGGGUCCAGUCCACCGGUCCAGCCUCGCCGCGGUGCUCCAUUGCGCCGCCAUCCGAGCAGGAGCCCCGAGCUCGCGCCUCCCCCACCCACCGCUCCUUCUCGUGUGGAUAAAAUUUGCGAGGGAAAGGAUCUCCCGGUCUGACGUCCGGGACCCACAGAAAUCCACCUCGGAUCGCUACGGCCGGGCCCACCGCCAGCCAUGCAUGGUCAACUAGUCAACCGCCAGGCCUAUGCGGGGCCCGGGCCCAUACAGGAUCUGCUCCGCGUCACUUGGGGUCGGUCAACUCGUCUGAGCUGAAGCUUCCAGCGAGAGCCGCCAGGCGCCAGCAGAUCUCGCCGCCGCGUCGCCGUCCAUGCCGCCGCGCUCGCGCCACCUCCUCCGUGUCCUCUUCUUCCUCCUCGUUGCGCUUGCAGGCGCGGCCGUAUCCCACGGUGGCGUGGUUGAGGAUGCCGCCUGCGCCGCGGCGAACCUCACCGACGCGGCCUCGCUCCGCCCGGACCGCCUCACGGUGCUCCUGAGCGGCUACUCGGAGCGGCGCCUCCCGCUGCUCCGCGCCAUCGCGGGGGCCUACGCCGCGCACCCGCUAGUCCUCGCCGUGGUCGUGCUCUGGUGCAACCCCUCCACGCCGGACCGCGUCCUCCUCCGCGGCGGCGGCGGGUUCCCGCCCCGCGUCACGGUCCGCCGCGCCGCCUCGGCGUCCCUCAACUCCCGCUUCCUCCCGUGCCCCUCCGACAUCCGCACCGCCGCUGUGGCCGUGGCCGACGACGACGUGCUCCCCGACGCCGCGGCCCUCUCCUUCGCGUUCGCCACCUGGCAGCAGCAGCCGGCGGCGGCGUCGGGCCCCCUCGUCGGCUUCUUCCCGCGGUCGCACCACCUCGACCUCGCCCGCGGGAGGUGGGCGUACACGGCGGCGGAGCCGGGGCGGUACUCCAUGGUGCUCACCAAGUUCAUGGUCCUCGGGACCGGCGUCCUCUACAGGUACUCGUGCUCGCCGGAGCUCGCGGCCGCGCGGGCCGUGGUGGACCGCGAGCGCAACUGCGAGGACAUCCUCAUGAACUUCGUCGCCGCCGAGGAGUCCGGCGCGGGGCCCGUGCUCGUGGAGGCCGGCAGCAUUAGGGACUGGGGCGACCCGAGGAACGACGUGAACGUCGGCGGCGCGGGCGAGGAGGGAGGCGCGAUGAAGGAUGUCGGGCUGAGCGCCACAGGCGGGUUGGGGCACUGGGAGAAGAGAGGGGCGUGCAUCACCGAGUUCCACCGCCUGCUGGGGAGAAUGCCGCUGCGCUACAGCUACGGGAAGGUGGUGGAGGCCGCCGUCGGCGAGCAGGGGCUCUGCAGCAAAGGGGGACGCCUCGUCCGGUGCGACCAGGAGUAGCCGAAGGUCUGCGAUUUUCUUCGCGGUGGUGUCAAAUCCCUGUGGCCGUUGAAUCAGAUUGCUGAAAGGUGAUUGAAGCGUUGAAGUACCGUGGCUAUGACAGAUUGGAAAUCAGCUUCAUCAUCAGGGCCUCAGGGGAGCAAAAAAACUGGCCCUCCUGCUGCUGCUGCUGCUGCUGCUGCUGCUGCAGGAGUCCUGCGGUAAUGCAACAUCAAUCCAUGAAGGAGGAUAGCGCUUCUAAUCCCUGCUGACAUAACCGAUAGCUUGUUAACAAGAUUGCUCAUUGUCGGUGCUUCUUGUUAACUCCUCUGCAGGAUUGCAAACAAAGUUCUGGUAGUGCAAUGCUAUUUGCGAUAUCGCCUGUAUGUACUGAAUGUUUGCUGCAAACUUGGUGAACUGAAAGUUGGAAGCAUGCUUUCCCAUCAAUUCAGUAGGUGUUCAGCAACUUCAACUGGACAUCAUAUCGCACUCCGCCCAUCAAAUUUAGGCAUCUGAAGAAAACGCAGAGCAGCAGCACUCUGUCCAUGGCGACAGAAUUAGCAGGUCUCGGUCGGUUCCAUGGCCGGUGACCAAUAACGUCACUACGGAGGACGCUACCACCAUGGGCGAUGCCCUUGCGGACGGCGGCGAAGCAGCGCGGAGUCAGGAGCGCGUAGACGCACACGACGCCGACUCGCCGAGGACGAGUCCUUUACCUGCAACUCGACGUCGGUCAGGCUCGUGUUCUCUUAACUGCGGUUGAUGAGGAGAUGAAGUGGCGAUGGGAUGCGGUUGGAUAAGUGGAGGAGGGCCAUGCCAAGGGCUUCCGUAAGCGACGGCGGGCCUCUCCGCCGGGCGCCGGCCGGCGGCUGGCUGGAGCGCGGAGCCGCGACGAUUUUGCUGGCGGGGGUGAGUUUGCAAAUUAUGUGUUCGCAAAAUAAUCGCGAUCCGAAUCAGAGGGUUUUGUAUAAGUUUUUGGAUAGGGAUUUACGUAAACCCCGUAGUUUGGAUCGCGAUUCAUAAUCGCGAUCCAAAGUUAGGGGGUUUUGUGUAAAUUAUUGCGUCAAAGUGAGAGGGUUGGAUGAAAAAAGAACUCCCGGCGGCCGCCGGACUCUCAGUUUCUUCUCAUGCUCCGGCGGCCUCUCAGCUUCUUCCCCAGUGCGUCGCCUGCCUCCGGCGGCGCCACCGCCGUGACCCGGCGCUACACCAGAAUGGAUGACACAGGUCACCUCGAAAGAUCCUACCGGCUACCGCACGCACGCGCUAGCCUCCCGGACAUCGUCGUCGGCGGUGUCACCACCUCGACCUCGCCCGCGGCCGCGGGAGGUGGUCGUACACGGCGGCGCAGCCGUUUCGGCACUCCAUGGUGCUCACCAAGUCCAUGGGGCACUGGGCGAAGAGAGGGGAGUGCAUCACGGAGUUCCACCGCCGGCUGGGGAGAAUGCCGCUGCGGUACAGCCACGGGAAGGCGGUGGAGGCGGCCGUCGGCGAGCCGAGGCUCUGCAGCAAAGUCGCGGCUCCACGCUUCGUCCGUGUGCGACCAGGAGUAGCUGAAGUUCAGAUUGAAUCAGAUUGUUGAGAGGUGAUUGAUGCGUUGAAGAACCGUGGCUAUCACAGAUUGGCAAUCAGCUUCUUCAUCAGGGUCAGGGGAGCAAACGAACUGGCUAGGAGAAAUGCUCAUGUGUGGUUGGAGAAAGCAAUGAUGCCAGCAGGGCUUCAAUACCGCAGUUCUGCUUGUCUGAAUUGUGAAUUGGCACACAUCAAAGAUGCGGAUGGUGGUAAAGCAGAAAGCAAUGUCUUCAUGAUCCAGUUUUUGUUUUCCCAGAUCCCUGUAGCUUUUCAUUUCAAGCACACAUGAAAAACUGUAAGGAGCUUUUUUUUUCUGAAGGGAAGUCGGUUCUGCGGAGUUUUAGGGCCUGUUUGGAUCCAAUGGAAAGAGAAAUAGAAAGUGCAAAACUUUUGCUCUUUUGCACUUUUUUUUGCACUUUUGGAUCCAAACACCCCAAAGUGCAAAAGGGCAAAUGCUACCGUAAUUUUGCUAAUUAUGGAUUAAUUAGGCUUAAUAGAUUCGUCUUGUCAUUUAGUUCUCAUCUAUGUAAUUAGUUUUUUAAUUAAACUAUAUUUAAUACUUCUAAUUAGCGUCCAAACAUCUGAUGUGACAGGAGCAAAAUUUUUGCCAUUUACCCUUUUGCCAUUUGCCCUUGGAUCCAGGCCCUUAUACUGUAGCGCCAGGAAAGAUGUUUAUUUUGUAUUGCAGAUUUUCGACUGAUUUCCGCCUCCAUGGUGUCUUCGCCCUCGCCGGGUCAUGUCAAUCACAGGCGCACGACGCCGCAGCCGUGCGCUGCCCAAGCACAACCCGGUUCUCCCACAACUGUCAGCCAAUGAAUCGUGAAUGAAUGUGGCAAGUGAGGACCUCGAUCGUCAGGCAGGAGCACACUGAAAUUUGGCACGCUGAGACUAGAACCGGACAGCAAUGCCAGUCAUCAGCAGUUUUUUUUUUUUGGACCAGCAUCAACAGAUUUUAAUCCUGAAUAGAAUAGCAGCGAUUCAAUUUGGCAAACCUGAGCACUUGAGGCCUCGGUAAGGCAGAUGAGCUGGAGAAGAGUGAAGACGUCGGCCCAUCGAGAAAAAACAAGCGGGCCUGGUGAAGCCCAUAUACCAAAAACGACUCCAACAAAAUUCAGUUGGAAGAAAUUCAUCAAAAAUCUUCCUGAAUCUCUUCGAAAUGAAUUUCGUUUGAAAACCCUCUGUCGGGUGAGUGAGUAGUGUCUGGGUCGUGAGGGGGGUCGGACCAGCGGUUACAGUGUCCCGUUGGGCGCGCUAGGACAGAGAGGAGAGGAACGGAACGGUCAUUCUCAAGUCCGAAAUGGCCCUCUGAUCACGAUCCGACGGCCGGCAACAGCACCAGUCUCCGGGUCCACGCGGGAAAUCUUCCCCCCACUACUCCCUAAAUCGUCGGGCGAGGGGGCGUUCGUGGCCACCGGCCUUGUCCCGAGCCUUGCCUUCGUGUUCAUUCGAACACGGCAAGGAGCGGGAGAGAAGUGUGCACGGCGAGGAAGGAGAGCGAGAGCCCCCACCACUGGGCACUGGUAUGGUCGUUGCUGCCGGCGGUGGCGAGCGAGGAUGAAGCCGCGCGGUGGCCGUGGUGGCGGCGGCGAGCAGCCGGCGGUGAGGAAGGGGCCGUGGACGGCGGAGGAGGACGAGGUGCUGCUGCGGCACGUCCGGGAGCACGGCCCCCGGGAGUGGAGCUCCAUUCGAUCCAAAGGCCUCCUGCCGCGCACCGGCAAGUCCUGCCGCCUCCGCUGGGUCAACAAGCUCCGGCCGGACCUCAAGACGUACGUGGUGCUCAUCCUGCUCAUUCUCCGCUCCAUCCGUCCUCUUCCCUGAGAACCUUGUUGGUGGUUGCUCUUCUUCGCUCUGGCAUCUCUGUGUGAGCUCUUCCAUUACGUGGUUUUGUUUUCGCUGAAGUGGUUUAUCAUAUCGAUUGCUUUCUGGUGCACCAACUCUUGUGUUCUCCCAAUCAUAAAUUUCUCUACACGAAUCCACCACAGAACAGUGUGAGGAAUUUUUACUUUUUUCUGAAGCAAUGUGAUGCUGCACAGUUGAGGUUUCAUUUGUGGUCUCAACAGAAGCAAUAGUGAUCUUUGUCAGAGACAAACUUUUCGCAGUUAGUAUGAUAGUGCGUGCUAAUCUCGUGAUCUUUUUUUUGAAAUAAAUAAUCUCGUGAUCUGGAACUCUAGUUUUGUUCCAUAGGUUCGAUGGCAUGCAUUACUUGAUGCGUUGUCAGUAAACACCUCUUCAUUUCUGAUGGCACACACGACGCUGAAUGGCCAAGAACUACUUGUGAUCCAUGCAUUGGCCGUGCCAGCCUCUGCACUUUACUCCACAGGGAAUUGCGGAGGCCCACAUGAUCUAACACUGAAGAAUGCUGUUCAAUUUCUUUUGCAGGGGUUGCAAGUUCUCCGCGGAGGAGGAGCGCGUGGUGAUCGACCUGCAGGCGCAGUUGGGGAACAAAUGGGCCAGGAUCGCGACGUACCUGCCCGGCCGGACGGACAACGACGUCAAGAACUUCUGGAGCACGCGGCAGAAGCGGCUGGCCAGGCUCCUGCGGGCGGCCGUGCCCCGCCGGAGGCCCGGCAAGCAGAGCGGCAGCGUUUCUUCUUCGCACGCCUAUGAGCUGCCCACUCAGAAGGUGACUCACCGUUGCCUGAAUCUCAUCAGUCUGUUUUUUUCCUGAGUGAGUAGUAGUUUCAGUUUACUAAUGAUUUUGCACCACUGCAUUUCUGAAGCAACAACGCCCUCUGAACUUGCCAAGAAAUUAGUGAUCUGAACAAUGAUCUGCUGCAGUUUCGAUUUGUAUCAUAUCGUGAAAAGAAUUAGCUGAAAUUUACCCUGCUUUCAAACAUGAUGUAUUGUUGUCACUCUUCAGUCUCAACCAUGCUGCACUUAAUUGAAACACUGAACAUUCCGGUCUCUCUAUCUAGUUGUCAAUUUGCAGUACUACGUUUCUGAAGCAACAACUCGCUUCUUCUGAACUUGCCAAGAAGUUAGUGGUCUGGACAAAAUUUGCUGCAGUUCCAAUUUAGUAUCAUAUCUUGAGAGAAAAAAAAAACUGAAUUUUUCGUUUGAAACAUGCUGUCAUUCUUCAGUCAACUACUCCGUAUUCCGUAUCUGAAACUGAAACUCUCUAACAUUCCGUUCUCUCUGCCAGGACCCGUGCUUGGACAUGAUCCCCUUCCAGGGGACGACGACGCCGGCGCACCACACCGGCGAGAGCAGCAGCCACGAGCCACGCGCGGCGAAUCAGCACCGAGCCGCCAACGCGCCGUCCCUCGGAGCGCACAGCCUGCCGCCACCUCCCGUCCCGCUACUCACGCACGGCGGCGCCGGAGCCGGGCACGGCUCGUCCAGCGCCGCUCCGACGUCGACGGCCCUCCUACCCUUCGACGGAGACUACUACGCCAGGGACGCGGUCGCCGGCGUCGACCCCCUGGUGUUCGUCGACCCCGCCGCCUGCCCGGAGCCGCUGGCCGUGGUGCCGCCAGGCACGUUCUUCGGCCUGGACGACGACUACGUGCACGCCGGCCGCGUGCUGCACCCGGACGAGUCCGGAGUGCGGUUCGACGACCUCCCGCCGGAGACGUUCGACUUCUUCGAGCUCCCGCACCUGCCGCCGUCGCCUUCACCAACUGUAGGGUCACUCAGUGGAGCUGACAAAGGACAAAAACCAUGUUGAUGAUAAGUAGGAACAGCCCUAUAAAUAUCAAUCUAUGUUCAUCAUGUAAUCUAAUUAGGAAUUCCGAGCCAGUUUCCGAAUUCUUGAACAAAAUCUUACUUUUGUUGAAAUUAAACAAAAUCUACCUUAUUACGAAAUGAUUUAUUUUUGAAUUGUUGGGAGCCUCCUCAAAGAGAAGGCACCCUCCAAAAAUUAGCGUAUGCUGCUUAUUGUGGCGUGCACACGGUAUUCUUUAGUAAAAGGCGAAAGAAUAGUUCGCUUUGUGCUCACCACGCAGCUGCGUGCCUUCAACAGUCGGACCUCGCCCUCCUUAUGUAGCCAGCCUCUCCCCCGCGUCCUCCUCCAGCUAGCGGUGUGGUAUUAUUCUCCCCGCACCAGCAGCGCCGCGACCGCUCCCCACACGUCUAUGCGGCCACGAGACCUACCGGCUCGGGCUCGGCCCACACUUGCUUGUCUGAAGGCCACGUUCUCAUUCGCCCAGCACCAAGCGUUGGGCCGAACCGCACAUGCAUAGACAGCGUGGGCCGCUUGUCAACUUCCGUGGCCCACUAGCUGCGGCGCGUUGGGGAAGACUCGCGAGCCAGCGUGUGGCGUGCCGUGUCCGUGUGCGACAUUGCGACCGAAUUAUGUGGAAUGACGGUAUAGCCAUUUGUGACGUGCGCAGCGCUAGGGGUAUUUUAGUACUUUGUCCGGAUGGUGGACAUCUGUCCUUGUCCCGUCUCCGCGAGUGGAAAUGUGGGGGCUUCGAGACUCUUCCAGAGCUGGAACCGAAGCUUCUGCACGCUUCCUUUUGCUCCCCACUUGCCCGCUCGACUCCCCGAGCAGAGCUCAUAUAUCUCCAGUCCCCUCCCGCCACCGCGCACCCCUCCACGACAAGGUGAGCUCGAGCACGCAAGAAACCACGAGAGAGAGGAAAGAAAGCGACGGCGACGAGCCGGGGCAGUUUGACUGAGGCGACGAUGGUGGUGCUCAUGGAGGAGUUAAACGGGCUGUCGCUGAAGCGGAAGGGCGCAGAUGAGCCGGAGCUGUUCGAAGCCGGCGCCGACGACCGCUCGGGGUUUCCGCUCUCCUGCCGCGCGACCAAGAUGCGCCGCCUCGCGUGCCCCGCCGGCGGCCCUCAACACCAGGGUGCGCCGGCGGAGGGCGUGGCGGCGGCGGGGCAGGAUGACGUGCCCGUGUACUGCGACGACGAUCCGGCGCCGGCCAGCGGCGGGGGCGAGGAGGAGGGCGCGCUGGUGUUGUACGGUGGCGGCGGCCGGUCUGACGCCGCGAGCGCUCGGGGCACGCCUCGCCUCGCCGUGCGCGGCGGGGCGGACUGGGUACGCGCCAUGCUCCGCGAGGCCGACAGCAGGACGGUGCGGGAGCUGCUCGCCGGCGCGGCCCAGGAACAGGGCUGCGACGACCUCGCUCUGGCCGUGGUGCCGUGGGUGCCACCGUCGCCGGCGGGAGAAGAGGCGGAGCCGUCAACGGCCGCGGAGGAGGCGGACGACGACGGCGACGAGGGCGCGGCGGCGAUGGAGGUCGAGGAAGGCGAGGCGCCGGGCCUUCGCUGGACCGGCCAGGCGUGCGGCAACGGCGCCGCCGAGGGGCUCGUGUACCGGUGGCCGCAGCACUGCAUGGCCCCGCCGCAGAUGCCGGCGGUGGCCCAGCCGAGCCCGGUGAUGUGGUCGUGGUGAACGCCAUGUGUGGUAGCAAUAGACAUUAGAAGUGUAGUAGAGGACAAUCCACGAGUGCAUCGAUUCCAGUUGGAAUCGACGCCAUUGGCGUCUUGGCGAUGGCAUGGGGUUACCUUUCGCCAUGCCGGGUUCUUGCAGAGAUAGAUCAGGAUCAGCCUAGUUGCUGCGACUGCGACAUUACCUUACCGUAUUCGCAUGGUCUGUAUAUUUUCCGUCCAUGUGUAAGAAAGACAGAGCGAAGAGUUUUCCAUUCGCAUCGUGUUCCUUCGCCGAUUCCUUGCUCUGCUGCCCAUCCUUAUUUGUGCGUGAUGAAUGAUGAUGCUUGAUUUCUGCUCACAAAUCCUUGCCCUCUGCUCGGUCGGGGGCUUGAUUCAGCGGCGGAUUCGGGGACAGGGCCCAGAAAGAAAAGGACAGGCACGGACUGGGCGCGCUCACCUGCAGGGCCAACUCGUUCGGCGGGUACCCACCGCGGUAGGCGCGGCCGCCAGGAAUUGCGUGAGCCUCACACGAUGGCGCCGGGCCACGGGACGGCGUCGCUCUCAGCAUUUCGUCGAGCAGGCGGCGGCCGUUGGCGGUGUACGCGCGCGCGAGAGAACUGUCAGGCGACGAAACCUGGCCUGAGGUGAGGAGCGCCGCGUGGAGGGAGGCGGCGAGCGGGGGUUGGCGGUGGCCGCGCUGCAAUGGAGGAGCACGGCACAGGAGCAGCCAUGGACACGAGGCUAGGCGAAAGGGACGGGGAGGGGCAAGGGAGAGGAAGAGAGGAGGGGACGGUGCGACCGGGCUUUCUGCUUGCACCACUGGCUGGGUGUCUGUCCAGUCCAUCGCCGGCGUCGGAAGGUAAAGAGGAGCCACGGCCAUGGGAAAGUGUACAAGACAUCUGAAACCAGGGUUAAUUUGAAAACGGUCGCCUAGCCUUCCCACAAAUCUUUGUAUGCAACCAGUGGCGGAGCUCGCCUCAGAUUUUAGGUGGGGUAGAAUUACGUUCCAGAUCGAAUCGAGAGUGCGGAGUAUCUCCUGUCCAAAUCGAGCUCUUCCAUAAUCGCCCAGAAACCAGCUGGCGCUGCACGGAAUUAGCCGCUGCCGGCGCAAGGCGCGCUGCUUCACGUCUGCAGCCGCGCCAAGCAGCCGUCCUUACGUCGUCGUCGCCACGACUCCCCUCCACGAAACCGCCACGGCUCCCUUCCAAGCAGCCGCUGAGGCAUCAGCCGGCUGCUCCGAUCUCCAGCUCCGGCCACCUAAACGCCAUGGAGGGAGGAUGGGGUGCAGGAUCUCUGCUCCGCCAGUAGCUGGGGCAGCUGCCCCACCGUACGGUACGGGGAGCUCCGCCUAUGCAACAACCUCGCAUCAAUAUAAUUUAUUAUAUUCAGGCUGGUCUCUGGCCCGCCGUAGUUGUUUCGAAAGAAAAGAGGAUUGAAGCACCGCUCUCCAUGCUAUGGCCGAAAAGCGGCAUUCAGAUUUCGGAUUGGUUCUAGGUAGCGUGCGUAUCACCGAUGAAGUUUCUUUAUUUCAUUUAUCAUUUAUGGGAUCUGUGAGUGGUACUUGUACGCUGCAAGAUAUGAUGCUAAUUUCUAACAAUUCUACAUGAAUCUGAAAAGAUUUGAAGCACUGCUACUACUAAGUUAUGAAGGGCCUUACGUAAUCUUGAUCGGGAAAUUUAUGUAAAUAUUUGGAUCGUGGAAAAUAAUUGGAAUAUGAAAUAAAAUAGGCUACGUAAAUAUUUAGAUCGUGGAGAAUAGUUGUGACCCGGAAUGUUUUAAUUCAGACUCAUGUACUACUCUCCCUAAAGAUUUUCUUUCUUUGGAGGUGUCCAGAACCUUCCGAGUUGUAGGUCUGAAACCAUAACUCUAUUCUCUCUAUAAAAUUUGACUAGAAAAUUUUCAAUUUCUCAGUUUCUCAGUCACCACCACUCGGCUCGUAAACCAAAGAGAUGGUCACCAGGCAGGCCGGUCGGUACCCCCCUCUUUACGGCACGGCGCGCGCGUAGGCGCGGGCACCGAGGUCACUCACCGAGGCGGACGCGGCGGUGCCCGCGAGCAAGCCGGAGUACGCCGAGGCGCGCCCGCGCGCGCUCGGCCCCCGCCGGGCACCACGGCUCGACGCGACCCCCGCCGGGCCGAGCUCUUCCGGCGGCUCGACGCCGCCUGCGACGCACGCCGCGGCGAACCGCCGUCAUCCUUGCAUUUCGGUCCGUCUCCUUCGCCGCCGCCAGAGGCUCCCGUGGAGGACGACCAGCCCAUCUGGCCGCCCCGCAGCCGCUACUGGGAGCGCUACAAGUAUACGCUCCGCUCCCUCCUCCUCGUCUCUGCUGUUGAUCAUUGUGGUUUUGUUUGCGGUACUCACACACACCGCAUUUCGCUUCGUUAUUUUUGGGUUGUAGAUUUCUGCUGGUGGAUUUUCGUGUUAGCAUCGUAUUCUAUCGAAUGUUAGAUGGAGUUUGUGCUGAUGGAUGCGUUAUUAUGCGCCUGUGUUGUUUCUAGUUUCUACCUUCCAGACGAAGGAAUCAGAGAGUUGCUUCUCCUGCUAACAAGAAGGCCAAAUAAUUGUGCUUGGCGUGUUCACACGCCUAAAUCCUGAUGGAUUUUGGUUUAGGAUAUUAGGGAUAGAGAACAUAGGAUUCAUGUUUUGAAAGCCUGAAAGAAGUGAAAAUAUAAAAUAGAAGUGUGUGUGAAGGGUGGGGGGAUCAUGAUUUGUGCUGUUGGUUUGAUUAGCACUCUACUAUUUGAAUACCAGGGGCAUGUGUUAUUGGUAUUGAAAUGCUGGUUUUAUUUCCCGACCAAGGUAAACUCACGUGUGUCACCUGUUACAGAAAAGGGUGCACAAAAGGUCUGUGGUAGAAACAUUUAUAGUUCGCCCUUCCAUUUUGCACAUAGCUAAUGGACAGGUGUAAAUGCGUUUUGUGUCUGAAAAUUCUGAAACACAUUCAGACAAGUUCAAGUCUGAAGAAAGUGGCUCACAGGCUUGCAAGAAACUUAAUGCUGUGUUUUGUGUUUAGCUUCCUAACAUUUCUCUUUAACUUACUGUUAUUGGGAUGCUGACAUAACUUUGGCAACUUAAUGCUGUGUUUCUAUUGCUAAUGAUGGAUUACUGAUAUGUGCUGCAUUAGCUCUACUUAGUGUAAUUGUUAAAUGUUAGGGAAUUAGGCUGGACCUUAUGUUAACUGGAUCAGAUUGGUAAUUUCCUAAGCUUACUAAUGAGGAACCACCUUCAUAAAUAUUUAAUUGCUAGUGGUAUCUUGGAGUCGGAGGAAUCUUUCUAAUUAUGUUGUGCUAGUUAGUUCAGUUGUUAAAUGCUCGGAAUUUAUGUCAUACCAUAGUGAACCUGAUGUACAAAUUUCCAUUUUGAUUCGAGAGAUACCUUGUUUGGAGAAAAGGAACUUGGUAAACCUGACUGGUUAGGCCCUGCCGUUACUAAGGAGGCAUCAGCUUCUAAUGAAUCCUGGUAUCUAGCCUACAGAUCUUAGGAUGUUACGCUGACUCUAGUUAGUUGUAAAUGUUGGAUAUUUAUACAGUACAUUAACUAACCUUAUACUGCAAAAAUGAGAAGGAUGUGAAAAUACUAGUUAAUCAUGUGUUUAUGCAGAUGCUUCCUUUAUCACAUCAUAGAGAGUUUAUUAACAGUGGCCUCCUGUAAAAUGCUCUCUAGAACUCUGUUGCCAACUUGGAAUGGUUGUUCUUUUGUUGACUGUUUGAUUGUAAAAUAUAGUUUUCAUAUUGGUGAACAUGGAUUCCAGUAUCCUAGAAUCUAUAUACAUUAAGUCUAAGAUUUUCAAAGAAUAGGGUUUUUUAGGUGCUUUGUAUGUCAGUUAUGUUGCUUUGUUUCCCUUUUGUAUUUUUCAUCUGCACUACUGGGUUCUACUACAGGAUAUAUUUGGUCACAUUUCCACUUGCAUCAAAUAUAUGUUCCUUAGGGAUCUUUUAGACUUGCAGGCUUGUCAAACCCAGUUUGAAAGUAUACCUUCUGUAAAUUCUGUUUUCUCUGGAGUCUUUCUCCAAAUUACAAAGCCAAAUGCUUUAUAUUGCUGUAAUUUCAAUGUCAGGCUAUAGCAUCAUACUGACAUUUCCACCGACUUAAGAGGCUCAGACAUUAUACUGUGGUUACAAUAUGUUAGAUCUUGGCUAAAGCUAUAGUUGAACUGUGUAUUAUAUUAUUCAUAUCUACUCAUUGUCUUUUCAGUUUAGAUUUUAGCUUCUAACAUUAAUUUUUUACUGUCACUUUCAAUAGGACCUUAAGAAAUAUGGAGUCAAACCUGGAAAAUUUCGUCAUCAGUCCUACUGAGAACUCUGUGUCUCCACCAUCUAGGAAGAGACAAAAGACAUUUGAUAAAGAUGGUGGCCAGUGUGAUGAUGCAUCACAUCAAAUAGUCAUUUAUAAGAAUGACAAAAGUGAUAGGGGACAAGAUGAACAGAGUGGAAGCCAUUUCUCACUUGAACCAUUGAAGCCAUCAAAGACAUCAAAGCGUGCAUCAGUGAAGAUUGGAGCCUUUGCUGCUCAAUGUGCUAAAUGCCAGAAAUGGAGACUUAUUUCAACAAAAGAGAAGUAUGAAGAAAUUCGAGAGCGAAUUCGAGAAGAUCCUUUUGUCUGUGAAAAAGCCCGUGAGUGGAAGCCUGAUGUGACAUGCAAUGAUCCAUCAGAUGUAUCUCAGGACGGCAGCAAGCUUUGGGCAAUUGAUAAACCUGACAUCGCACAGGCCCCUCAAGGAUGGGAAAGGUUAAUUAAGAUAAGAGGAGAAGGAAGCACCAGAUUUGCUGAUGUGUGAGUAAUUUUUUCUCUGCAAACCUAGUUAAAUGCUUUCUAGUUUGACAUCUUAUUUCUGAACAAAUGGUGUCUUAGUUAUUACUUACUUCCCAGGAUCUUGUGAACUCUCAUAUGCAUACUUGUGCUGUCUGUUGUAUUUCCCCUGGCUGACAUAUAAUCUAUGAUCUAAGUUCCUAGUCCAUGGCAACAAGCAAAUAAAUAAAAAACUAAGUUUUAAUUGCUUAAAGGAAUGGGAAUAAUUUGUAUUGUAGUUUAAUAUUACACAAAACAGUUAUCCUUCAAUCAAUAUAUUUAUGCCUGCUGCCGAUGUUGUUUACUGCAGUCAAAUCCUCACCCAGAUUCAUGUUAUUAUCAUGUUUAUGAUGUUCUAGCAUUGUCAUUUUUGUACACCAUUUUUCUUCCCCCAUCACUUAUGUUGAAGAUUUAUGUUGGGUAUGGAAAUACUGGAAAGAGGUAACUUAUGUACCCUGCUGCAUAAUUUGUUUUGUUAUGAUCUGUAACCCAUAUAUGUGACAUUUUGGAUACAUAUUGUAGAGUGCUUAUUGAUGUUUUGUUCAUGACUUCAGGUACUAUAGGUCCCCUACUGGAGUUCAACUGAGAUCAACGAAUGAAGUUGAGAAGUAUGUCAAGUCGUUUUUUGGUCAACUCUCAUUGUAACCUGUUCCCUUAAGCAUAUUAGUGCUCAUAUCCAGUUUUAGAUGCAUGUAGAUUGUGGACUACAUGCAAUUAAUGUCUAUCUACCAAUCUACAAUUGUUCCGAAAAUUGUUGAUCAAUGAUAGCAUUUUAUAUUAGUUAUCUAAUUCUUUGAAUUCCAUGCUUGGAUAGGUACCUCGCAGAGCAUCCAGAAUACAUUGCACAAGGUGUGGAGUUAUCUCAUUUUUCAUUCAAGUCACCUGCACCACUAAAAAAGGACUAUGUUAGAAAGCGUUCCCAGACAAGCCAAAGUGGUGUCACACAUACAGGAUCAAGUAAUCUUCUCCAACUGGAAGAAGGUAAUGUGCUAAUGUACAUUACAUAAAUUGGACACCCUACAUUUAAUGUUUUCUAGUUUGCCUUUUUGGUUGGGCAUGGGUGUACCUUUGAAACUAUCUGUUGAAUUCAUGACCUCAAAGUUUGCCAAAUGUAGAAGUAAACGAGCGCUUUGACGGAUGGCUUGUUACUGUGCUGUUGGCUGAUGUGUCAUAGCCAAUUGGUUUUUCAUUUACAGUUGUGCCUGGGACAUUUGUGUCCUCGCUCUCUCCAACCAUAUGGCUUUCUGACAUGGACUAGUAUUUCGACAUCCAACUGAUUGCAUGCUCGAUGUUCUCAUCCAUCUGAUCCCCUGUUCUGUUUCUUGGCUCAGUGCAACCCAUCUCCUGGGCAGCUCCACCGGAGAACAACAAGCAGAUGGUGAUCUACAAUGAAGAUCAGCCUGAAGUGGUACCAUCUGAACUGCGGGAGCCAACGAGGCCUGGGAGCCCGCCUCCCGCGCCGGCCGUCUAGCCCAACAACCCUGCAUCCGGGAUGCCCAGUGUCUGACUUUUGGACGGUGUUCGAGUUCAGUGAUGCAAAACUACAGAUGGUGCUUUUACUAGUAGGACUGAAAAAUUAAAAACUUAGGUCCCCGUAGGCCGUAGCAUAGCUAAGGUAGCGCCGUGUUCAUGCUGCUGUUACUGGUUGGUUGUUUUGGACGGGCACCAGGAUCGGACAGGCGUGGUGUUGCCUUCGACCGACCGGCCGCUGCCUGAACGCUGGCCUGGCGAUCGGUGCUGGUCUCGGUCUGAUGAUGAUGAGACUGGAGAGAUUUUGGGACGGCAAGAACGCGUCGUCUAGCUUAUAGUCGGAAGGCUUGAGACUUGGGUUGGAUUAAUUGCUGGCAGUCUGGCACCCCAUGUCUCUGGACUCUGGAGUUGACGAUGUUGUGUAGUGCUGUUUGCUUGAUGAGCAUCUCUUGUCAUUUUGCGUGCGCGAGAGGGCCUCGCUCACCAUGCGCGCCGGCGGACGAGAAACAAGCACGCAUGCUCUGUUGGUGCCGCCGCGUCCGUGCAUCCUCUGCACCCACGGCUUGGCACCCACCUACCCAACGAUGUGGGUUCAGUUCGUUUGUACGAGUGGGGGAGCCACCCACCGAUGCGGGUCCAUGUUCGUUUCGUAGCUGCAAGAUGCCUCGAUCACUCAAACCGGUGCUUUUCAAAGGUUUGGUUGGUCUGCCCGACCAACCAAUGCUCCACUUUAUACCAUAUAUAAUUUCACGUCUUUAGAAGUUGUGUCAUACAUUAAGUUUACAUGCUUCUUAGACCAGUCUCGGUAGGAGUGUUAUCGGUUAUCAAGAAUAAAAAUUUGGUAACUAUACCGGAAGAGCGU
rnacentral:lncRNA from 1 species